rnacentral:lncRNA from 1 species
GUGCCAAGCAGCAGCUAGCUAGUAGUUCCAUUCGGUCCUAGCUAGUGCAGGCAUGGCCGCUGGGCUCUCCUUCAAGGCCGUGGCGCUUGCCGCGCUCCUCUCCGUGCUCGUCGCCUAUGGCGCUCGCGCUCAGCAGCAGCCGAGCAACGCCACGGAGUCCCAGGACAGGUCCUUGCUGUCCUACAGCGGUGGCUGGCUCCCGGCCAAGGCCACCUGGUACGGCGCGCCCACCGGCGCCGGCCCCGACGACAACGGUAUGGACCAAGAUACCUCUCCGCGUGUCUCAUCAGCAUUUGUUGUCCGGUCCUGGGCAAUGUGGCAUUGUGGCUCAUCCUGUGCCGUGUCUUGGUGCUGAAUCUUUGCCAGGCGGUGCGUGCGGGUUCAAGCACACCAACCAGUACCCCUUCUCGUCCAUGACUUCCUGCGGCAACGAGCCCAUCUUCAAGGACGGCAAGGGCUGCGGCUCAUGCUACCAGGUGCGUUGCGUACUGAUCCGGUUUCGCCAUGGCGCCGAUCGCCAUGCACGAUUAUAGCAGUUGGUGCCCGGUCAUUUUAUUUGGUUGGUCAAAUAAAGAUGCCAGUUAGCGUCCGCAGCGCCACAGGUUGCUCAUCUUUAUGAUGGGCAGCUAGCUAGGCUAGGACUAGGAGUACGUGCACCCGUUGACCUUGUGCUUGGCUUCCUCCAGAUUCGAUGCCUCAAGAGCAACCACCCUGCCUGCUCCGGCGCGCCGCAGACGGUGGUCAUCACCGACAUGAAUUACUACCCGGUGGCCAAGUACCACUUCGACCUCAGCGGGACGGCGUUCGGCGCCAUGGCCAACCCAGGCCUCAACGACAAGCUCCGCCACGCCGGGAUCAUCGACAUGCAGUUCAGGAGGGUGCCGUGCAACUUCCCGGGCCUGACCAUCAACUUCGUCGUCCAACACGGCUCGAACCCCAUGUACCUGGCGGUGCUCGUCGAGUUCGAGGACAAGGACGGCGACGUGGUGCAGGUGGACAUCAUGCAGCACAACUCCGGCUACUGGGAGCCGAUGCACGAGUCCUGGGGAUCCAUCUGGAGGAUCGACCCCAACCGCCCGCUCCAGGGCCCUUACUCGCUGCGCAUCACCAACGAGUCCGGCAGGCAACUCGUCGCCAAGAACGUCAUCCCGGCCAACUACAUCCCCGACACCAACUACCGCUCCUACGUCCAGUACUAACUGCUCGCGUCGAUCGAUCAGAUAGCCGCAUGAUGAGCUCCAUCAUCGGCUUAAGUGUUCUCGCUUAGUGGUGGCCGGCCGUUGUUGGCAAUUGCGCUGAGGAUUUUUCACCUCAGUUCCAUUGUUGGUGUGUGUGUGUGUGUGUCCUGAAGAUUUGUGGGAAAUUAGAGGAGGCAAGCAUCAAUGUGCUCUCCCGCCCACUGUCACUCUACCAUUACCGGUGUGUAACCAGCAAAAUAUGGUCAUAAUUUAUACGUGUGCUGCUAUUUAACUAGCAUGCUGUCUGAAAAGCAGGACUCCCUGCCUUUUGAGCAUUUCAGCUUAUUCACUACUCCUGUACUCCGGAAAUUACUAGUUUCGCUGCACUUGCAGCCUAAAUUUUCCAUCCUCUUCGUUUCAAAAAAAAAAUACAUCUUCUGUAUACCAAUUUUCAUGUACGAUCAAACCCUGAACUUUGAGAACCUCAAUGUAGGAGUAUCACUAAAGCAGUACUGUUAUGUGGUUCUCACUUCUCACGAAUUACGAUGUCAGGGCCUCCAUGGCUCAUAAAUGGAUUGACUUUCUACCCAGAUGAUUCUGGUCUGUAUUCUAGUACAGGCUGGUCUGUAGCUGACUCGGAAAUGCACCUCUUUUCUUCAUAGUACGGCCACCCACCAGAGAUUCAGAGGACUGUUAACGAUAAGCCUUUUUCUAUCCGAUAUUGUUCCAGCAGAUUUGUCGGUUGAGAAAAGCUCAUGAAAGUUCUCAAUCCAACUCCAAUCUAUCACAAAGCAAACAGCACUGCUCUCUACUCUACUACUCCUACAUUACGGUGGUAAGUUCGCUGGUGAUGGGAAAGCAAAUCAUUCUGCAGAUCUUCCAACAAAAGUCCCUUUCCCGCCAAAGCUCUUGCGCAACCGAUUCCAUAACCGUCAAUCCUCGAAGUAAUCAUGGACGGGUCUUACUUUCACGUGGGACCCGCCAAAGAAAUCGUUGCCAAAAGAAAUUAUCGCAAGGCCCCAUUGGAUUCGCGCCGUGAUUACAGGCGCUAAACCCCAAGGUAAUUAACAUGGCUGACUUGCAAUUAAUAGAAGCUUCGGCGAGCCAGACGACUUCCUUCGCCUGUGUCAGUAAAUGUUACUAGUAAACACGAUCACGUGAUGUUGCUCAAGAAAAAAUGCCGAUGGAAUUGUGAACUGAUUAUGGCGAUGAUCGAGGAUGGAUCUGUGAUAAAAGGGAAAAUUUCGGGACACGUUGCCGCCGCUUGAUGAGCCAUGAUUGUCGUAGUAUACGCAUGGAUGAACACACUGCUACCCUCACCAGUCACCAGUGCUUGCUUUAUCUCUGAAACAAACUGACAGCAAUAUCUAUUUUAAUGCAUUUUCAAUGGUGAUAGAAGGAUAGUAUUGUAAAAUAUUUUUGCACCCAUAUUGUUUUAUGGAAAGAUUAUUGGUUGUUCAAAAGAAAUAUAUUCAUAGUGAAAGCUUAAAUGUUUAACUAUUGCCUGACACGCUUUUUUUUAUCUGAAUAAAUACAAUUUUUAGAGAACGAAGCACAGGGAUGUACUUCACGUCCCCUGAACUCCUCUCGAUGAGGUCAUACUUUUAUUGAAUGUUUGAGUUCUCCAUCACCUGAAAAAGAAAAACAUGUUGCAAUCCAGGAGUACCAAUCAAGUUGCACUCUAUUGAACCAUUUCCAUCUCCAUUUUUCUUUUACGGAUAAACUUGAGAUACGCGUAUCUCGCCUACCAGCCAUAUAGCCAGCACUCGAGCCCCCACCAUUUUAUCCCUUCUUGUCGGAGCAGCGAUAUAGACGAAGAAGAAGCCCCCCGGAACGCGACGCGACGAGCUCUCGCGUCGGGACAACUUGACUUGGGGGCGCGCGGCCACGGGGCCGCAUGUGCGGGGCGAAAGGCCGGACGCCGACGGCGCGGUCGCCCGCGCCGCGCGCAUGUGAGGUGCGGGGCCACCGCGAGAGCAACCCGCGGAAACCCGUCCUCAGCCCUGCGCUCAGCGGAUCCUGGGGACCCGCCCUCAGCCCUGCGCCGAUGCGCACACUUGCUGGCCGGCCGCGGCCCCGCCGGCUAGCUAGCGAACUGAGCUCUCAGCUGCCCGCUUGUCUCUCCCGGCGGGCGGCCGGCGUCGCCACGUCCGGGCAAGUGGUUGCGCCCGCGGCGGGUGUUUGUGCCGCGCACGCACGGGCUUCUGUGCUCUCCCGGGGUGUGUCCGCAUGUUACUCGGGAGACUAGCAACAGUCUUGCACGUACGUACGUCGUGUGUGAUUUGACGCUUUUUCAGUGGCUCCCCGUGCGUAUGCGUACGCAGAAUUAUCGGGCACCAGCAGCUUGGAUAUGAUGUGCUGUGGUCAUGCAUGGCCGUAAUUGGCUAGUACUAGUAAGCAGUAACGAAACUUGUAUGGCACUCCAGGAUAUCAUGGCGGAUGAUGAUGGUACACGAUACGAGUUGAUAGGAUCAAGUUGCGCACGUACGCUCAAUAAUGAUGGCACUCCGAGACCCAAAAUCGGGGCCUGUUUUCAGGUGCUGGGUGCGUGCUGCCAAGCUAACUUCCUUCGCUACUUGGCAGACGGAAUGUUUGAACAACCAAAGUUAAAAAAAGAAUGCAGGCCCGGUCGGCCGCAUUAGGAUCGAUCAAAAUAACCGAAACCAGCGUACGUCCAAAACGGGAUUCCAGAUAUCGGCAUUCCUUCUGCCCCACGGAGCUAGUAGAAAACAAGGCCGAAUGGGCGACUGGCCGGGAUGCCAUGCGCCACGUCACGCCUGCGUCCAUGGCUCCUUGCAAGCUAGCUCCGACUCUGAGUUGCCCAUCACGGCAUCACAUGCGUGGCAGCUGAACUUGUGGGAGUGCAGUGAUGAGGAGGCCGGCCGGGCCAGCGAGGUUCAACAGAUGAUGCCGUCGCUUACAAGCUUAAGCAAGCAUCCAUGCAUGCUCGCGGGCAGCCGGGCACACAAGUUCACGUGGCAGGUUUUUUGCAUCGUGGUCAGGGGGAGAAGCACACAAACCGGGGGCUGUGCGUGGACUGCGGCGGCGGCGAACGCCGUGGCGUGCUCGGCUAUCACGGAGCCCGUGAUCGCCCCGGGUUAUUAGGGGGUGGCGAUGUGAUGUGAUGCGCUCGCUGAUCGUGGCUGGUCAGGAAAUUCGUUACCAGCUCACAUGGGUCUGCUAGCUGCUGAUUGCUGAAGAAGAAUCGAGAUGUCAUUAACGCAAUAUGUCACCCACCUAUACUGUUAUGUGAAGUCUGCAUCAGGUGGGCAGCUCGUGCGUUUUCGGCGAUCCCGUGCUAAGGCAAACGCUUUUUAUUUGGUCAGGGCUAGCUAGCUAGCUGAUGGAGGAGAUGGCGGACGUGUCCGUGGCCAACCUCCACGUCGUUGCAAGAACGGAGUCUCUCGGACCCUGACAGAAAAUCCUACACUAAGCUGCACGGGGACCAGUAUACACUGCAACAGCUACUACCUGACGAUACGGUACCCUAGACCCCUGGAGUACGUGGAUGGUACGAGUAUAUCAGACGGCCAAGGUAGCGGCGAAUGCAACAGUUCGUUGUCCGACUCCGUUUUCGGCACCACUUUAAUGGGCUUUGGCGGCACCACUCAACCAUCAGCAGCAGAAGAGGCCGCGCGCGCGCAUUCAAGGGGAUGAAAGCGGCCACGGACCGGCCGGCUCCCCAUGUGCGCCUGCGCUCUCCUACGCCCCCCACCCGUCGCGCUCACCUACGUCUCCCCUGCCCCGUCCGUCGUCCUUGCCCCAUCCAACCGAUGGAUCCACGUCGUUCUCGCGCCCGCGGACGCGAGCCUCCCGCGGUGCCGGUGCGUGCCCGCUGACGGCGCGCCUCCGGGUCGCGGCCGGUGGCGCGUCCAGUCCGAGCUCGGUGGGCUGGCGGGUGGUGCGGGGCAGGAUAGAUAGAUGGGACCCGACCGAGAGACCAGACGACGAAACGAGACAGGACGGGGCCGUGCUGCAGCCUGCAGGUGCGCCCUGUUUUUUUUUCCUUUUUUUGUCCACGGCGAACCGAUCGAACCGCCCGCACGGGACGGAGCCGCACCCGCACGGCGCGCAACAGGGAGGGAGGGAGAGGGAGACAAGCGGAGGAGGAAGCGACUGGAGGCGGUGGGACCACUAACUACCGGCCCGACGGCCCGACCGGCCGGCCGGCCGUUGAAGCAUGGUUGGUCCGGGAUACAACGACCGGCUAACGGUCGGGGGGAGGAGCCUUGAUGAGCCUUUGUCGUCGGUGUUUUGCUUUCUCGGGGGUCCGUUGGUUCUUCUGCCCGCGCGCUUUUAAUGAUGACUUGUCUCGCCAUGUGAGCGAGCCGGCUGGUACGUGGCCUGUCGCUACCGUCGGCAGGGACGUGCCAUGCGUGCAUCACAUACGCCCGUGUUUGGUUCUCCAAGGACAGCUCUCGGGGCCGGGCCGGCUCCCACUGAGUCCCAUUCCCAUCACGAUGCAACAGGUGUACAGCCGCAUGGGCGUAUAUGAGAUGGCAUGUCGUUGAAUCAAACCCGAAAUCUGAUUGCCAAUCCUCCUGCCAGUAGAUCUAGGUGCAACUGCUCACAGCCGAAGUUUCUGGCACGGAAGAAGUGUUCAUAAAGUAGGACAUAUGGCUAUGUUUAUAAGGUUGAGUGUAAACUGUACAUCUAAACUGUUUUCUUUUUGAUGUAUUGAAGUUCAACGAAGCCACUGUUACCAAAAAGAAAAAACAGAGAGACAGAAGGGCUAGCAGCCUUCUCGUAAGUCACUGGUGAGCUUAGCCCAAUCCGACUUCUUCUAGAGUACAAAAUAGAGCUUUGAUUUGGGCCAAGCUGUUCUGAGAUGGAACGAUUACUUUAGGCCCACGCGAUAUAUCUAAAACACACACACUUUGCUCAUACAGUACAGCCUGUUGUGGCCGCCGCAAAUACACGCACGUUCCCAACAAAACGAUUUUUUUUAUUUUUAUAUAUAUUUUUUUCGAUUUUGUAGAAAUAUAUAGUCGAAUGGAAAAAUUGCAAAUCUAAGCUAUUGCCGCCGGCCCAGGGCGGCCGCCGCCUUAGCCGACGAUAAGGCCCUCCCGCCAACCGUCAGCAGCCGUCGUAACUGCGGCGCGCGAGUCGAGGCGUCACCGCCACCCCAGGCGGCGGUAAGACCCUUGGUAAGGCCCUUCCGCCGCCAGGGCCGGCGACAGUCGCCCCCUUUAUGACCCGCCCGCGCCCCUCCCCUCCUCCGCACUAGUGCGCGCCAGUAGCGAGCCAGAGAAGGAAGAGGGAAGAGAAAGAGGAAAGGAGGGAAGGAAAAAAAAAAGAAAGAGAGGAGAGGAGGAGGAGGGAAGAAGAAAAAAAGAACGGAGGAGGAGGGGGAAGAGGGAAGGAAUUUCUUCCGUCUUUCUCAGGUAAAUUUUUUUUUUAAUCUCGUAGUUUAGUAUACUAUAGUAUAGUUUAGUUUAGUUUAGGUUAGAUCUAGAUUUAGAAAUAUUAGUGGAUCUGAGAUUUAGAAAUAUUAGUAGAUCUAGAUUUAGAAGUAAUAGUGGAUCUAGAUCUAAACUUAGAACUUUUAGCUGUUUUUAGAUAGGAAAAUGUAGCUUAGUUAGUAUAACUGAUUUAGCUUAUACAGUAAAAUAGAGUCAGCAUUAUUAGAUUUAUUUGUUAUGGUAAAAGACUAGAAUAAAUGUAGUUAGUAAAUUUUGAUUUUUUGUUAGGUAUUUGAAUAUAAUUUUUUGGUAACAAUAUUAGAUUUGUUUGUUCUGGUAAAUCACUAUGAUAAAUGUAGUUAGUAAAUUAUGAUUUUUUGAUUAGGUAUUACAAUAUAGUUUUUCGGUAACAUUAUUAGAUUUAUUUGUUGUGGUGCAUGGCUAUGAUAAAGUUAGUUAGUAAGCUUAGUUUAGUGUUACAUAGUUGUUUGUUUAUUCAAUUGAGGUCGUUAUUGUAGUUAACUUAUGUAUAGUGGUGAGAAUAAUUUGGACUGCCCGUUUCAUGUAUGUUGCCAAGCAUGUCGGAUAGUGUCAAUAUUCAAGUGUACUAUGGGCUGAGGGAGGUUAGAUAUGGUCCAGAAGGGGUAGAUUUGAGUGGAUUCCCCUGUUUCACCAAGUGUGUUCCAAGAGCAAGAGAAAGAACUUGGGGGGCAUAUGCAAGUGGCUCUGUAGGGACUUAGGUGUUGAUAGAGAUCAAGCGGAUGUGUGUGUGAGGGUUGCAAUGCAAAGAUGGCCGGACAUAAACUUUUGGGAGUUAGUUUCGCUUGAAGGAACUUCGAGAUAUCGGGUUUACAUAGAUGGUUUUACGAGAAGAGGUUUACCAAUCAUAUGGUAUGUCCAAUUUUUCAUGAAGGGUGGACCUAGCACUCAUAUUGAAGAAUAAGUCAGAGGUGAUGAAGUUGAAGCGGAAGAAGAUGUGCAGAGUAGUGCGGGUGGAAACGAAGAAUUUGAUUACAAAGAAUAAGAACGUGAAGAUGCAGAACAUGAUGUAGCAUCUCGGGAACCAAAUGGAGAAGCUGAUGAGGGCGAAGAAAUUCCUGAGUUAGUAGAGCAGAUGGAGAUGGAAGAAGGGGAGGCCAAUGGUGCCGUGGAGGAGGACUCGUCGGAUGAGGAAGAUGAUUAUCUUGUACCGCGAAAUUGGUCAAAUUACGACCAUUCUGCCCUACAGGUCAAUGUUGGGGAAAAUAUUCCUUGGGAGUACAAGGAGAAUGAGGUAUGCGUGGGGGCUGUGUACCAAAGUGGGGAUGAAGUGAAGGUGGCUAUUAAGAGAUGGUCCACUUUGUGUUUGCAGUGUUAGUUCAGGGUGGAAAAGAGUAGCCCGAAAGUGUAUGAUGUCCGGUGUGUGCGAAAUGAUUGCCCAUUCAGGGUGCAUGCAUACAAGGGCAAAUGGAAGGAUUACUAGGAGGUGACUAAAGUGGUUAAGCACCAAUCCUUGCUGGUUGAAUUGGAAGGAACACACCGCAACCUCACUGUUGAAUUUGUUGCUCAAUACAUGUACCCUCAGAUAGUGGAGAAUCCAAGCUUCGAGCCUAAGUCCAUUAUCUGUGCCAUAGAGGAGAAGUUCAAGUACAAGAUCAGUUACAACAAAGCUUACCGUGCUAAGCAGAAGGCGCAUGAGAUGGAGUGGGGUACGUUCGAAGCAUCCUACGACAACCUCCCUGCCUUGUUGCACACCAUUUGCCAGAGAAAUCCUGAAAGCUUCUACGACUUGAAAUCAUAUCCAGUUCUUUAGUUUCCAGAAAAACAGGUCCUACAAUGGUCAUUCCUCACGUUGGGUCCUUGCAUUUAGGCUUUCCGGCUUUGUCGACCAGUCAUUUGCAUUGAUGGCACAUUUCUGACUGGAAGGUACAAAGGGACAAUAUUGACAGCUAUUGGGACUGAUGCCGACAAUCAGGUGUUGCCGCUUGCGAUCGCUUUUGUGGAGGAGUCUGGAGAUAGCUGGUACUGGUUCCUCGAGAGGGUGAAGAACAUGAUUGUGUUGGACGUCGAGGGAGUCUGUCUCAUUCAUGAUCAGCAUAAAGGCAUUAUACAAGCAAUCGACGACCUACAGAAUGGAAGUCAAGAGCGUUUCAGGGCGCUGAUAUGGCCGGACUUGAAGAGUAGGUGGUGCAUGAGGCAUAUGGAUGUGAACUUUCACAGCCAAUUCAAGAAUAAGACCCUUAUGAAAUUGUUCAAGCGCCUGUGCAGCCAGAAUCAGAAGAGGAAGUUCAACCUGCUGUGGAAGAAACUUGAGGACGUCACAAAGAAGCAAUGCGAGGAACUAGCGAAGAGGGCGAUCAAUAGUGAGGCCGACCAACCUGUGUCUCUGGAGGACGUCGGGCUCGACGGGCCAAACGUUAGGCGAAGAUGGGGAAGAUCCAUCAAGUCCUUCUCAUAGUGGAUUGAGAAUGAACCGAAGGAAAAGUGGGCAUUACUCUUUGAUGAAGAAGGUGUACGGUGGGGUAUAAUGACGACAAACCUAGCUGAGGUUUACAACUGGGUCCUGCACGGUCUUCGGGGCCUACCCCUUGUUGGUAUUGUUGAAUUUUACCUUUACCGCACCAUGAAGUAUUUUAGGGAAAGGUACCAAUUGGUUGAUAACUCAAUGCGCGACAACCACAUAAUAUUUGGGUACAAGAUGACAGAGUACAUGGAGGAAGUAAUUAAGAAAGCUCAUUUGCAUCGUGUGAAAGAAGUAGGAGCCGUGGAACGCCGGUUUGAAGUUGUUUUGCAGGGACAAAGUUCGAAUGGACGGGAGGCGCGAGAGACACACACAUGAGUGCAUCAUCAGCAAUAAAGGUUGUGUUUGCUCUUACCACAAACCAAGGUUGCUUCACAGGCCUUGUACCCAUGUCAUUGCUGCAUGCUUUGAGGCGGGGGCCUCCAACCUCGUCGUUUCGUGCCGCACUAUUUCCUCAAAGAAACCAUAUGGCAAACUUGGAGGAAUGAGGUUUAUGGAUAUCGUUUGCUGGGAGACUUUGUCAACAAUCCUGGGAAUGCCGCCCGCUACAUUCCUGAUCCUAAUCCAGAAAUGUGCCAAGGAGUGGGGCGACAUGGGAACAGGCGUAUCCAUAAUGACAUGGAUCAAUCUGAAGCUGGUCCUGAUGUCCGUCUAUGCUCCAAGUGCCACGAAGCCGGUCACACCUACAAGAACUGCCCGGCAACGACGUAUCGAAGUGCUAGCACCCAAGCUGCAUUUAAGAACUAGUAAUGUAAUGUACUGUCUUCCUUGAGUUGUGUUAUUGUAACUUGAGCUGUCGUCCUUAGGUAGUGUAAUAUAAUGUUUAUUUGGUGGUGUGGAAAAGGACAUCAAGUAUUGUAAUAUUUAUCGUGGACCCUUCUAUUUGUAAUGACUCGUAUGUGCCGUAGAGUUAUGAUGUUUAUUUGCAAUGUAACGUAAUGCCAUGUUAUAUUUUCUUUACGUGUUCAGUGCUUAUUUCUUUCAAUACUUGUGUUGCAGGUAUGGCGUCGCACCUAGGUCCACAGGGGGACCAGACCCCUGAGUUGCUCGACCCUACCUUGGAUGAUCAGCACAGGUCGUUCCACUCGGCCGUAGUAGGUACCAACCUAGACAUGUUUCGGGCUCGUAUCCCGCUUGCGACCAUGCCGAUCAACCGACGUUGGAUCCUAAGAUAGAAAUAAUUAGUAAUACUUGUGUGUUAAGUUCAACGAUUAAUUUGUGUAAACUAAUUAAUUUUUUCCAUGGUACAGGUUGAGUGCGGCAGGCCUUCUCCCUGUGGCUAGGCUUGUGGAGGGCGACAUGGUCGACCGUUCAGCGCGACGUGGCCGCGAGAGACCCACACGGUUCCAGUUCGACAUGUCACUGAUAGCAGCUUUGCUGGACCAGUGGCGGCCGGAGACGCACACCUUCCACCUCCCGGUCGAUGAGUUGACCCCCACACUAGAGGACGUCUCGAUGCUACUGGGCCUUCCUUGUGCAGGGGCUGUCGUAGCCGCGAUGGACGUCCCCCCUGCCUGGUGCGAGGAGCUACUGGGUCGCUUUGCGGACGUUCCCCGCGUAAACGAUGCCCCGCAGUACAGCACUUUCAGCAGCUCCCACAGCCCGACGAAGGCUUGGCUCCAACAGUUCAGUGUGAGUAGUUAAUUAGCAGCAAGUACAAAUAAUUUUUGGCCAUUUUUGUUAUUGCUAACAGAAGUCCAAAAUUGUUUUGCAGGCUGAGUACAUGAGAAAGGACGCAGAUGACGCCACAGUAGCGCAUCACUUGGAGGCGUACCUGUUGUGGCUCUUCGGCUGGACCCUCUUCUGCACGUAGUAGGGGAACUCGGUGCCUAAGCACCUUCUUCCUUUCGCGAGGCCCAUUGCGGAGGCCCCACUCAACGAGGUUCCACAGUAUAGCUGGGGUUCAGCUGUGCUGGCGGCCACGUACAGGGGUCUUUGCAUGGGCUGCGUGAAGGUGACGCAGACGGAGCCUAUCUUCCUUGGCUGCCCGCUGCUGCUUCAGCUUUGGGCCUACGAGCGGUUCCCGAUAGGACAACCUUGUGUGGACAUAUCCCUCUACCCUACGGGUUUCGACGAGGACGUCAUCGACAGACCCACGAUGGGGUCGUUGUGGUGCCUGAGGAGGGUACGGUUCUUGUACUACUUUUUUUCGAUUCAUAUUACACUUUGGAAUUUUCAAGGUCCUAACUGAGAAAUUGUGAUUACAUUUCUUGCAGGUGGUUUGGACGGGAGUGCAGACAAAGAAGUCGUACCCGAACUUCGUCGGUAUGUUCGACGCUCUGGUCGACACCGACAUGAGGUGGAGACCCUACAACUUCGAGGACGUGGAGGCUCGUGCCCCGCAUGGCCUGUCUUUGCAAUGCCAUCGGGACAUGGCGUACUGGAUGACGAGGAGGCUAGUAGUCUACGACAUCGACGUCGAGGACUACGCGGUUCACCGUGUGAUGAGGCAAUUCGGCGUGUAUCAGGACUCCCCACUUUCGACUACGUCAGCCGUUCUGGCUUUCGUUCACAGGUACAAUCCAGCAUUUUCCUUCUCCUUGCAUUAAGAAUUUUUCAUUUAUGUAACUCGUGUAAGGAUGGUUCCAUUAGGGCUAGCCAUCAGGGUAGUGGUGGUGGUGGGCCUGGAGUCCUAUGGGCUCCGAGGAUGGUUCACUGGGUCGCCCUGUGGGCGACCGCACUAGACGAAGUGUUCCAGGAGGCCUGGCCACACGACGCUGAUGCUUUUGCAGCGUACCUUCGCUGGUUCUUACCAAGGACCAGGACGUGGGUCCAGCAUGUUCCGGCCGAGCCACCGACGGAGACCGCUCCAGUCAUGCAGGCGUACCCUCGUGCGAGAGACGUCAACUACGACCGCGCGGUAAGCUACUGUAAUUUUUGUUGUUACUAAACUUGCAUCAUUUGGUGUGACUAACUUCAAAUUUUUUCGCUCCCCAACAGAUCAACAUUAUUGGGGAUUUGGACAGGAAGCUGACGUACGGCAUCGAUAACUUCCACGUGAUGAAUUCCGUUAAGCAAACGUUCGCUACUUACAAGGGCCAAAGACGGCUGCAGGAGGUUCCUCGGUGCCGUUAGCUACCGUGGCGGGCACGGGGACGUCAUCCGUCCAUCACGACCUCUGUACCCCCCGUGUGCCCACUCCAGCUCCUACUCAGCAGGCUGGUAUGUCCACUCACCAGCCCGUUCGUCCGCCAGCAGCCAACACGUCCUACAUCAUACCACCACCACCACCACCGUCUUGGCACGCCACAGUAGGUCCGUCCACCGUUCCGCAGAUGCAAUCCGCAUGGUCCUCUUGUCCUUCUUCAGGUGCACCAGAGAUACGACCAGUAGGUGCGUGAUGCAUACAUUUUUUAUACUCCAUUUUAAGAACGCAAUGAAACUAACAAAACCGUUUCCUUUGUGAUUAUAACAAGCUACGCAGACCAGGGAUGGCUUUCGGAGGACUCCCACGACGAGGCAACGAGGUCCAGCGCCCAUGCUUGGUUCAAUGACCUUUUCAGAGUGGACCCCGACCUGCUCGGUCUCUCCCAACUGGUAGACGCCCUGGGUCCUACAUAGGGUGUGACCCAGUACCUCGGGACACCACAGGGUCCUACACAGGGCGCAACCCAGUACCUCGCAACACCUCCUGCGGAGGGAGUGGGAGGACGGCCGACUCGCGACGUUCACCCGCCGGAGCCGUGGACGUACGACCGGCAACAGACCAGAGCAGCGCAGCAGGCAGCGAGGCAUAGUCGUGGCGCCGGGGAGCCUCGUUUCAAGCGAGGACGCAUUUAGUGCGUAGGGCGAUUUCUUAUUUUUUAUCUUUUGUAGGAUUAUGAUGUGUACGAUUAUCUUUAUAUGAGAGGACUGCUCUAUCUAGAUAAGUUAAAUGCUUUUCAUUGUUCGUGUGCGUUCACUAUACAAGUCUAAACAUUUCCCAAUUAAGAAUUAAAAGCACACAAUUAAAAUAAUCAAUCACUACGAAUGAAAAUCGUGCGGCGAAUAACGGAGUACAUGACCUAAGCACAACACAAUGAAAGGUCCAACAACACACAAUAUUAUCCAUGAAUAAACCAUGGACACACAACGAAAGGUCCAACCGCACACAACGGAGUACUAGCCAAUAACAGAGCCUACUGAGUACAACGAGGCCACUUUCCCUUCCUCAGGGCAUCGGGGUUCUCCUCCAUCGCUGCUUUCGCUCGGCGUGCACGCUCAAGCUUCCUCUCCCUCUCCUCCCUCUCCGCAGCAAGACGCCUCAUUUCCUCCUCUUUCUUGUGCUCCUUCUCUGCAGCCUCCUCUCUAAGCCUCUUCUCCAUCCUCUCCUUGUUCUCUGCCACCCAACGCAACAUGUACUGCAUCUCCUCCUUGUCCUCAGGUUGAUCUCAGUGUCAAUCCACUGCUCAAAAUCACAGAGCGGUGGAGGGGUUUGCAACAAAUGUAAUUAUUACAAAACAAAAAAAUCAUGCAAAAUGUCAUAUGACACAAAAUAAUUAUUGCACAACAUCAAUUCCUUACCAUCUUGUUAAUGUGGCGCUGACGAAGUGUAGGCUCAAACGCAAAAUAGGAACACAUCCAAUACCUCUGCCUAUACGUGUCCUCUUCAUCGGUCUUGGCUACCUUGCAAGGAUCGCCGCAGAAGCACAUGGGCACUCGAACACCACUAGUCAAAGGUAAAGGAUCGAAGGCAUUUCCGGUCAACCGAACACCACCCCACCUUUACCAUUUUCGUUGUAAGAACCGGAAGCAACUAAGAUUAAAUCAUACGACUACCAGUUAACAUAAUAACGUGCACUGAGAUUACCUUGCUUUUCCAGCUUUUCCACGCCUUGGCAUCCUACGCUUGUAUAAUAAAAAUAUUAAAAUUUCAUGAAACUAUAAUAGUAAAUACUUCUAGAUCUAAAUACUAAACUAUGAACUGAAAACCGAAUCUACUAUACUAACUAAACUACAUUUUUAACAUCUAAAAGCACACAACCUAUCUGUAGAUCUAAAUACUAAACUACGAACUAAAUACCGAAUCUACUGUACAAACUAAGCUAGAUUUUUAGCAUCUAAAAGCACAAGAUAUUUUUAGAUUUACUAUACUACAAUAAUGAAAAACUUACCUGAUGACUAGGAGGUUUCUUCCCCUUCUUUCCUCUCUUUCUUUCUUCCUUCCCUUCCUUCUCUCCCUUCUCUCCCUCUUUGGUUCUCCUCUCAAUAACAACAGGUCUGGAUCAAGAGAGUUGGGUGGCCUAAGGCCUAGCUGCGGGCGGGUUAUGUAGGGGGAACCCCCGCCAGCCCAGGUGACGGCAAGGGUCCUUACCGCUGGCCCAGGCGGCAGUAAGGACCAUUACCGCCCGUGCGCUGGUUGUACCGUGAUGGUGCAGGGGGCCGGGUCCUUACCGCCGGCCCAGGUGGCGGUAGGGAGUUAUCACCGGCCCAGCCGGCGGUAAUGACAUGGGCCGACGGGGUCGGCGCCUUACCGCCGGCUGAGGCGGCGGUAAGGCCCUUCUGCCGCCUAGCCCGGCGGCAAUAGCCUAGAUUUGCAAUUUUUCCAUCCGACUAUAUAUUUUUGCAAAAUCGAAAAAAAAUAUAAAAAUAAAAAAAUUCCAACAAAACACACACGCGCGCGCAUUCGGAGAUGCUGAUGAUUGAUGAUUGUUCAGGCCUAGUAGUAGAGCUCGUGUAACGGUGUAAGAAUCAACCAACAAGGUCAUAGAGAUGGGCCUGUAUUAUCAACGUAUCUUUUGUUGGUUUCCAUCAAAAGAAGUUUGAAAAGGGUUGCUAAAACUAGUCAUGCAAACACUAUUCAAUGGCCGAGCCCCUAUCCAUAUGCAUUGCAACAUGACAAGGUUUUAAAGCGUUAUUAUUUCAAACGUGAGCAUCACGACACCCAUGCCUGGGGAUACAAGUUCAAAUCCACAGACCAAAAGAGUUCUCACAUCUACUGCAUGCUACCUGACCUCCCACGAAUAGGGAUAGAGUUUUAAACGAUAGACAAUCAAACGAUAGACAACCACAUGUUGCUGCUUAAGUUUUCGAUUAAUCACCGUGUGCAGAUCAAAACGCACGCUCCAAAUCACCCAGGCAAAGGGCCAGCAUCACCAGCUUGUGGCAAGAGUUAUCCAGGCACCCAUUGGAUUGACAGGUGAUCCAUCAGAAAGGACCAAUCGUCCAUGAGAGCUUCCCUGGCCUUGAACCAAUGUCUUUAAUUCGUGACACCCAAAGCUCGAAUUGCUCCACGUAUUUUAUUGGGCACAGAAUUGCCCAACCCUGCAUGCCACUUGCAGCAUGUUUGGUGAAGAGCACGUUUGAAGAAAGUACACACGAAUGGGAAACAAAACUCUCUUAGGGCUUAUAUUUCUCAAAAAAUGUGAACCCUUGUACAGUAGGGGUGCCUCCCCUUUUAUAGGAAGGCCAACCGACUUUUACCUACCGAAUUUACCCAUACUGAACCACUACAUCCUAGGAAUAUGCUGUACAUUUUAGUAAAGAAAGAGUUCUAAUCCAACUUGUACACCCCAAACGGAUCACGCUAUUCACGCUAUCAAGGUCAUAUUCGCAACGGGAUCCCAAUCCUCCGCACCUUCUCUUGAGCAACUUGGAUUGGCCGCCGGAUUCUUCCUCGAGGGAGUUCACGGGUCCUUCGCGCUUCCCAACUUGGUCUUCCAUAGCGAAGGUGCCCCGAACCUCCGCACCUGCCUGCGAAAAUGCCCUGAACCUUCGCGCCUUCUUCCUUGAUCUUACGAAGCGAAGGUGCCCCGGAUCUUCGCAUCUUACUUUGCUCCGUCCAAACAUCGUUUCCUGCAAUCAUGCUUAAGUAAAACGCUGCUUACCUUCGCUAGGGGUUCAGCGAGGGUGGCAUGCGAGGGUGACAUUUGAUAUCCUUGAUCCAGAUCCUCAACAGUAGCCCGUCGUGGGCGAGGUCCUACUCCAGCGGGCCGAACCCUCGAAAAAUCAUUUGAUCUUGAUCAAGGAUAAAAAACGUCUCCUUCACGUGCUGGAGCGGAGAUCACCACAAAGGUUGUUGAAUUGACACUUUUGCCCCUACUUUUUUACCGUUGAGCACGGUUAUCAAAACGGCUCCUUUUCAUGCCUAUAAAUAGAGAGGGGGUUGCGGUGACUUUUUCGCAUUCUCAUUUGUUUGGAGACCUUCACUGCUUACAUUUGCAGUGCUUUGAGAUUCAUGCUUUCCGUGCCACUGCUUGUUCAGCUGUUGCGAAGGUGCAUGUGCUACUUCUUUUUCUUUCUCCCGUAAGUUUCGCUGAGUCUCUUUUCAUUAACAUUUUUCCACUCUUUUCUUCAUUCUAGAAUUCAUCGUGGCUCGCACGAAACAAAAUGCUAGACUCAUGAGCUCCCAGGAGUUAGCCGCUGCUGGGCUGGGAGAUGCUGUGCAUGAUGCGAAUGUGUCUGAUGACGAUUUGGGUGGUUCUCGAUGAAUUCACAAGGGUGAUGAUGCGUCUGGCACAAAAUAUUUUGAGAGCAAAUCUAGAAAUAUUGGUGAUGAAGAAGAAGACGAGGAGGGGGAAGAGGAGGAUCUUGAGAAUGUUGAAGCUAAUGUGAUGAGCUUAUCCCCGAAUGUCCCAAGAUUUGCUUCUUUGGUCACUCGUUGGUGACCCAACGAGGCAUUGACUUUUAUGUGGAGAAAUGUUAUUUUGCCGAUGGUGAUUGCAGACCUUCGGACGAAGAAGAAAUUAUUGUUCCGAAACCCAAUGGGACCAUAGUAUUUCGUGACUUCUUUGUUGCUGGACUGAGAUUUCCUUUUGAAAAUGUCGUUGUUGAUAUUCUCAAUGCCUUCAAGGUUCAGCGGCACCAACUAACACCUAAUUUCAUUCCUCACCUUCUGAAGUAUAUUUGGAGUUGCCGCUUGUUUGGUGGUGAGUCGAGGCAGACUCUUUUUGCUGCCAUUUUGAAUUGCAUCAUCAAAAGAAGCACAUUUUGGUUGGCGAGGAGGAGAUGGAAACUCAAUAUGGGUGUUGUACUUUUCGAACAUGUCAAAUCAGCGCUGGUUUAAUUCAUGUUGCCUUAAUCCUUGCUCAGAAAAACAUGUGGGCUGAUAAGUGGGACUCAUAUUGGUUCUAUGUGACGAUUCCCGUUGUUACUGGACAAGAUAGCGAGGGCAAACCCAUUGUCGAGUACCCACUUGCAAGCAAGAUUGAGGACAUAGAUGCAGAUUAUUGUCCUCCUUUUUCAAAGAAAAGCUGAAAUUCUUCAGUUAGCAAUACUUACUAUAUUGGCAGCCAGAUCAUUACUGCACGAGAUGCAGUUGAAGAAUUCUUGGCUGCUGAAAUUUGGCCUUCGCGACACAGAUGGUGUCCCAAGAGUUUUUAUGAGAAAAAUAUUCCUGGUAUGAUAGUUGCUGUUAAGUUUCCUAAAUUUGGAGUGAAAAAACCUAAGGGGAUGACUGAUCAACAAAUUGUUGAUGAGAUUGAACGGAGAGUUGUUGCUUUGAUUGGUAAUUAUUUGCAUAAAGAACAUGAACAAGCUCAAAAAACUUUGAGGAACAAAGGUAGGAUCAAUCGCGUCUUUGAUGAAAUGGGCAUUACGUGCGGUCCUAGUGCUCGUCCUAGCAUCGCCAGCAAGAAGAUGGUUGCGGUCGGAAAUAUUGGCUCUGAAAUUCCUGAGGUUAAAGCAAAAAUCACAAGGAAGAAAAAAUCAUCCAAGAAUCUAUCUGAUGCUUCUAAGCAACCAAGCUCAAAAACCGGCGGCUCCUCCACUGUUUCGAGAUCUGCGAAGGUAAUGGCGGUGCUGACAAAAAGGAAGCGUGAAGUCGAUGCUGUUGGCAAAUAAUGCAAGGUUGUGCCCAAACUAUCAGUUGUUGCUGAGGAGUCUCCCUCAUCUAAACUUGUUGGAUCGUCUAGUGCUAAAGUUGGUGAACAAGAAACUUUACAGACGGAAUUUGAAUGCCAACAAUGCCAGGACAAAAGAAUACUACCAACACAUGGAGGAGAACAAUUUUUCUCUUGACAUUGAGAUGCUCGGAGCUUCUACCAAUGUCCAUGCUAGUAUGGUAGAUGUUUUGGAUGACAAUGACAGUUUGAUCUACUUGGACGAAGAUGUUGCCGACGUGGACUAAGGCAUUGUUGUUUCUAAACUUUCUUUGAUGCCCGAGUCAGGUAUGGCUAAGCCUGUUGUUGAUUCUUUGGAGAACUUUCCAUUUCCAUUAUCUUCGAUCAUUGGAGGCCGUACAAGUGAAAAUGAUGGAUUGUCUCCCCUGCGAGAAAAAAAUUGAGAAGUAGCUGUUGUAUCAAAGGAGUUUCCCUCUGUGACCUUUGAAGAAGACUUUCUUUCCCCAAAGUUCAUGAAAUUCCUCCGUCCGCUAAAGGAAGAGAUGUCUUGUCUCCCUAUAAAGGUGAUUUUGGUUCUUGAAGUAUUUCUUGCUUUUGGUACUGAUUUACUUUAUUUCAUAUUUUUAUAGUUUUGUUGUCUUGUAAUGUUUGCAGAUGGUGACGCAACUGCUCAGACUCUACUUUUAGUGAGUCACCUUAGCUCUGACGAGCUGAAAUUGAUUAGGAUGUCAGAGCGUUUGAGGGAAGCUUGGAAGAUCAGCCUACUUUCAAGGGAGUUCCCGAGGUGGAUCCUGGUGAGACUAACAAUGACAUUCCACCUUACUAGUAUUUCGAUCCUAAAGGUUAAAAUUUUUUAAUGCAGAGCAUUAUUAACUCGGGUCCUUGUUGAUUUUAUACAGACAUGAGUUUGUGCUGUUGCUUGUAGAAUUUGAAGCCAGCAUUCAAGGCUUCAGUGGUCUUGAACUCUGCACUUUGAUGACCACCUAUGCAAUGAAAGGUGUUAUUGCUGGAAAACUUGGUUGCCAGAAGGUCUUUGAUAAGAUGGAAGACUUUCGCAUUGAAAAAGAUGACCUUAAAGCGGAGAACCAGAAAUUGAAGGAUCAGAUUUCUCAGAUGGAAAGUAACAAUAAAGAUCUUUCUGCUGAGGUUAAGAGCUUAGCGAAUUGAAACCAACAGCAAGAAGAAGCUUUGAUAAAUCUUCGCGCGGCUAUUGAGAAAGAUGUCGAAUGCUAUCAACAAGUUUGCAAGGAACUUGAGACAACCAAGACGACCGCAACUGCGCGUUGGCGAAAGACUUGGUUGCUAAGCAGAAGAUUAUCUCUGAGUUAAGGCAAGUUAACCUUUCUCAAGAGAAAAUUCUUGAAGAACGUGAAUCUAAUAUUUGGCAGCGAGGUCUACAUCUUAAUCGCCAAUAUCAAGAUGGGCUAAAUCAAUUUGCCGCUGAGCCCCAACCAUUCCCUAGUACUGGAGACACUAACAAAUUCUUUCAAUGGCUCGAGGAUGAAUUGAAGUUCUUGCCUGGUAUCUUGUCCAAGGUUGGUGAUUACGGUGCGGCUACGAGCGUUGAAACAUUGCUCCAUUUGAUGGAAUGCGAGGGCUGUGAUCAUUUCAAGAAACUUGGCUCUCGUAGUUACGAAUUUCUAACUCAUUCGGAUAUUCCAUCCCCUAGCCAAAAUGUUGGUGUUGUAUCAAAGAUAUUUUUUAAGGAGUACUGGAUGAAGAGCGGCCGCGAGGGUGCUCGCAAAAAGGCUGUUGACCGUCUUGCGCAAGUAUUUUCUAUCCUUAUUCUAGCUUUUGUAAACUUGAAAAUGAUUGAAAUACCUUUUAAUGCUAUGCAAUUACUUCCUCACAGUUCUAUCUUGGUCAGGCAAAGUAGACAAUGGAGACUUGCAAGCUUCAAACUCUUCACGGGGAAUCAGCUACGCAAGGCCCGCACGCUGCUCCGCACCAAUGGCUAGUUCCAGAGCCCUGCCAUCAACCAGUUGUUGCGGAGGUGGCUCCAUCGUCUUUUGCUGCUUCUGAUUUUGCAGAACCGUUAGCGUCGCAUGCUGCCAGUGCAUCUCAUGAUUCUCUGGCCCAAGGAACACUGCCACAUGAAAUUCAGCCUCAAGAGCCGCCCUCAAUUGGGGAGGAACUGAAGGUGUAAAGUUUGGAACUGAUUGAAAAAUUGAUUGUUAGAUGAAAACAAAAAUGUAACUUAUUUUGUUGUAAAUAUCCACUGUGGCGCAGGUUCCAUGUGAUGGAACUGUGUGUGAUGUAACUCCUGAAACAUUCUGCCAAGAACGCUUGUACGUUAGCGGCCAUUCUUGGACGGUUUAUCAUGCUAAGUAUCCGGCCAAGUCCUUUGAAGAUUUCUAGCAUUUUGUUGUUCCUAUUAUCCAUCACGUAGUUAUGCACUUCGUAAUUUACUCAAUUGUAUUGGAGGCACUCGGAUUAGUCAAUCCCAAGCUGCGAUCUAGAAUCUUGCACUGUGGAAGUCAAGAUCGAAAACGAAUGCUCUAAGGAUAACGAAUACUAUUUUGUGUAUAACGCUUGUGAUCCUUACACAUCCCCUGUCCGCAUAGGUUGUGUAAUUGAACUUCCUUUUGAAUUGUAAGCUUUCGAUUUUCUUCCAAUCUCAAUCACUUUUGGAAUAAGUUUUUGGUAAAAAAAUGUCUCCCCCCUCCCCCUUCCAAGAAGUGAUUGAGAUGCAGUGGAAAAUCCUCCUUUGUAAGUGUUAAUGUUUGAACAAUAGCCUGAGAUGGAUUUUAGCUGAAAGCCCUCGCAGAUCUAUUUUUUGGGUGUCGAAUUUGGCAACCUUUAAGUUAAUUUCGACAUUAAUUUUCUCUAUUUAUUUGCUUUCAACCUUUUAAGAUGUCUUUCUUUAACACUUUCGCUGGGUGUUUUAGAAAAGUAAUUUCAUUGCGCUUCGGUGCUUCUUUGCCACCUUACGCGAAAAUUCUUUCCCUAAACAGGAAAACAAAACCAUCAUUUCUUGGCUUUUUCUUUAACACCUUAUGCGAAGGUGCAUUCUUAUCUUUUCCUCUUUUUAGAAUAUUGAUAAGUUUACAAUGCGUCUCAGACGCAUUCUUUUUCGCCUUGUGCGAAGGUGUUUUCUUAUCUUUUUCUCUUAUUGAAAGAUGAUAAGACUUGUGUCACAGACGCAUUCUUUUAACACCUUGUGCAAAUGUGUUUUCUUAUCUCUUUCUCUUAAAGAAAGAUGAUAAGACUUGCGUCACAGGCACAUUCUUUUAACACCUUGUGCGAAGGUGUUUUCUUAUCUCUUUCUCUUAUAGAAACAUGAUAAGACUUGUGUCACAGUUGUAUUCUUUUAAAACCUUAUGCGAAGGUGUUUUCUUAUCUCUUUCUCUUAUAGAAAGAUGAUAUGCGAAGGUGUUUUCUUAUCUCUUUCUCUUAUAGAAACAUGAUAAGACUUGCGUCACAGGUGUAUUCUUUUAACACCUUGUGCGAAGGUGUUUUCUUAUCCCUUUCUAUUAUAGAAAGAUGAUAAGACUUGCAUCACAGGCGCAUUCUUCUAACACCUUGUGCAAAGGUGUUUCCUUAUCUCUUUCUCUUAUAGAAAGAUGAUAAGAUUUGCAUCACAGGCGCAUUUUUGACACCUUAUGCAAAGGUGUUCUCAAGCAUAGAAGUAAAUUUAUCGCGUCACAGGCGCGUUCUUGAACACAAUUUCAAGGGGAAUUUCUUUACUUCAUAAUGUAGAUGAUUACAUCGGAAUCGCCUCAUUAAAAACCUCACCUCCAAUGUGGACCCCCUAGUGAGGAAAAGAGUACGACCCAUUUUUUUUAAAUGUAAAUUUGCAAGAAUGUAAAAAGGAAUCCGAUUGCGUUUAUAACUCAAUGCUACCGGCCCUGCACUUACACUUUGAGGUGAAGUAAAUUGCAAGAAAGUAAAUCUAUGCUACUUUUAGGAUUCGAUUGUGCUUAUAACUCCACGCAACUGAUCCUGAACUUUUCUUAUGCUCAAGGAUAAAACCUGCGGAGGUUGUCCACAUUCCACGAAUGCGGCAGCUCCUCCCCCUCUUCAUCGACAAACGAUAAGCCCGUGGCUUGACGCUGCUCAUGACCAGAUAUGCUCCUUCCCAAGCUACUUGCAGUUUGCCUAUUGUUUCUGCAUUCUUUUUUCUCUUAAGGAUGAAAUCUACCACUUUGAUGUCUUUUUUGACAACCUUUUUGUCUCUCCACUUUCUCGUUUGUUCUUGAUAUUUUGUUAAGUUCUCAGCUGCCUCAAGCCUACCAAUCUCAACAAUAUCCUUGUUCAUUGCUUCAUUUUCCUCGUUUUGUUCAGCUAUUACCCUCACACUCUGGUGUGCUAUUUCUUCAAGACACAUUGCCUCAGCCCCAUACAACAAUCUAAAGGGGGUGAAUUUAGUGGUUUUGAAUUUAGUUGUAUUGUGCGACCAAACUACCCUUGGCAAUUCUUCUGCCCAUUUUCCCUUUUUCUGAUCGAACAGGCAUUUUUUUAUGGCAGUGAAGAUUUCACCGUUUGCUCUUUCUACGGCCCCAUUAGACUGCGCAUGGUAUACUGAUGUGAAAUUCAAUUUUGUUCCAAUCAUUACACAAUAUUGUCUGAACUCAUAGCAAUCAAACUGCUUGCCAUUAUCGACAGUAAAUUCCCUUGGGACUCCGAACUUGCAUAUGAUUUACUGCCAAAAGAAUUUUCUCAUGGUUCCGGAUGUGAUUGUUGUUAAAGGCAUUGCCUCAAUCCAUUUGGUAAAAUAUUCAACAGCCACAGCUGCAUAUUUGUUAUUUCCUUGAGCUGUUCGCAAUGAACCCACUAUAUCCAUUCCCCAUCUCUAUAGCGGCCAGGUGGGAGCAAUUAACUGCGAAGGUAAUCCCGGUACUCGUUGAUGUUUGGCUGCGAAUUGGCAUGCCUUGCAUGUUCUGACAAUCUGCUCAGCGUCUAUGAUUACCAUUGGAAAAUAGAAUCUCUGCCUAAAAAGCUUUCCAACUAAUGCUUUGACCCCGAUAUGAGAUCCGCAAUACCCACAGUGGACUUCUCUCGGCAGCUCAAUUCCUUCUUCCUGUGAGAUGCAUUUUAGCAGUGGUGCACUCACUCCUAACUUGUACAAGUUUUCUCCUUUCAUAAUGUAACCUCUUACCCUUUGCUUCAUGCACUUGAGCUCGUGUUCCUCUACUGGCUCAUAGUUGUUGCGGAGGUAGGCUAUGAUUGAGGAUCGCCAGUCCUCACUGUUGAUUGCAUUUACUAGACUCAUGGGCUGCUUGUCUCGCUUAACUAAGGGAGUGGUAAUGACUUCAAAGAAUACAUCGGGCGGUAACUGCUCGUUUCUGGAGGCUUUCUUUGCUAAAUCAUCAGCCUCGCCAUUUCCUUUUCUUGGUAAAUGCUCAACUGUGAAACCCCUAAAAUGCCUUUCCAUUCUCCUAACCUCCGCUAAGUAUUUUAUUAGUUCUAGCUCUCUGGCCUCACAUUCUUUUUUUGAUUUGCUCUUUGAUUACUUUUGCGUCCGACUUCACCAAGAAAUUCCUUGCCCCCAACGCUUUGACUUUGCGUAGCCCAAGCAAUAGUGCCUCAUACUCUCUAGUGUUGUUUGUGCACUUAUCUGCUGGAUCUGAGUAUUGUAGUAUUGCAGUGUAUCUAAUUUUCGCUCCUGAUGGUGACGUUAUGAUUGCAGUGAUUCCAGCCCCUUUGCGACCCUAGGCACCAUCGCAGGUGAUCUCCCAGACUGGAAUGACCUCUUCACCUUCGCAACAAUGAUUUGGAGCGGUCCAAUCAGCCAUGAAGUCUGCCAGCACUUGUGAUUUUAUGGCCCCUCUUUUCUCAAAAUCUAUGACAUGCUUGGACAAUUCAGUUGCCCACUUUGCAAUUCUACUAGAAGCUUUUCUAUUUGCAAAUAAAUCAUUGAGCGGCUGAUCUGAUAGUACAGUUACCUUAUGGGCCUCAAAAUAAUGCCUCAAUUUUCUUGAUGCCAUAAUUACUGCGUAGGCAAUCUAUUCCAGCUCUGAAUACAUUAACUUGGAGCCUGAUAAUGCCUUCGACACAUAAUACACAGGCAGUUGCUUCUUGAUACCCUCACUCUCAACUUCCCGUACUAAUGCGGCACUUUCUGCUGAUUGAGAGGCAACAAUAUACAUCAAGAGAGGUUUCCCAGGCUGCAGAGGUGACAAUAUAGCCAUUUUCUCCAAAUAGUCUUUUAGUUCUACAAAUGCUUUGCUCUGCUCAGGACCUCAUUCUAACUUUCCAUCCCCCCUUAGCACCUUGAAGAAAGGCAAGCUUCUUUCAGUUGAUUUUGAAAUAAAUCUGUUCAACGUUGCGAUUCUUCCAAUGAGAUUUUGGACAUCCUUUCGGGACUUAGGCUCUUCCAUGAUUCUGAUUGCCUUUAUUUUGUCCGAGUUUGCUUCUACUCCCUUGGUGGACACAAGGCAGCCCAACACUUUUCCUUUCUAAAUUCCGAAAACACAUUUUUUCGGAUUCAACUUCAAGUUUACUUCGCGGAGCCUAGUGAAGGUCUCUACGAGAUCUUGGAUAUGAUCCUCUCUUUGAACACUUUUCACAAUGAUGUCAUUGACGUAUGCUAGUAUGUUUCUAUCAAUCUGAGGUUUGAACACUUCACGGUCAUACAAGUGAAAGUUAGCCCAACAUUUUUGAGCCCCUCUGGCAUUCGAACGAAACAAUAUGUUCCAAACGGGGUGAUGAAGCUAGUUUUCUCUUCGUCUUCCUUUCUCAUCCACACCUGUUGAUACCCUGAGAAACAAUCGAGGAGGGACAUGAUUGCUACCCUUGCUGCUCCGUCAAUCACUUUGUCAACUCUAGGUAAAGGAUAAUUAUCUUUGGGGUAGGCCUUAUUUAGAUAAGUGAAAUCUAUGCACAUUCUCCUCUUUCCAUUAUUUUUCUUGAUAGGAACAGUGUUGGAUAGCCAUUGAGGAUACUCAACCUCUCUAAUGACCUUCGCAUCGAGCAAUCUCUGGACUUCAGAUUUAACUGCUGCUACCUUGUCAUCUGACAUCUUUCUCAACUUCUACCUCUUUGGUCUUAUUGCCUUUUCGAUGCUUAGCUUGUAUUCAAUAAUAUAUCUGUUGACCCUAGCUAGGUCAUUUCCUGACCAUGCAAAUACAUCUUUAUUCUUGCGAAGAAAUUCGACCAAUUUCUUUUCCUCCUCAGGAUCAAGAUCGGUCCCAAUGAUUACUUCCUUGCCAAAAACCAUGUCAUCCAAUAACACCCUUUUGGUGUUACAAUUUUUCUCGAUGUUUACUUUCUCUUUGUCUUGUUUGGGCUCCUUGAUAACCUUAUUUACUUGAUUCUCUACCUCAAGUGCAUUUACAUUUCUUUGACCCGGAGUUCUCCCCCUUUCUAAGUUUCUUCCAUCACCUUGAUCUCCAAAGAUGGUGAUAACACCAUUCAAUGCAGGCAUCUUCAUACACAAAUAGGCCUCAUGAAUUGCAGCUUCAAAUUUGUUCCAAAAACCUCUACCAAAAAUUCCGAAAUAUGGAUAAUACAUUUCCAACACAUCAAAUCAUAUAUACUCUAUUCUUGCAUUUUGGACUGUCCCGAAUGAAACCAGUAAAGAAAUCUUUCCUAAUUCAUGGAUUACUUUUUCUCCAAAACCAUACAGUGGCGUGUGUGGGAGUUGCAACAGAUACCUGUUUAGCUCCAUCUUGUCGAAGGUGCUAGCGAACAUGAUGUCCGCGGAAGAGCCAUUGUCUACCAAGAUUUUUCCAAUUGCCCAAUUUGCAAUGUUUGCAUUGAUUACCAUGGUGUCGUUGUGAGGAUAGCUUUUCAACUGCAUGUCAUCCUCCUUGAAGGUGAUUGGGACAUGAGACCAUUUGGUUUUCUUCACUUUGCCUUCCACAAAUAUGUUGCCCACCACUCUAAAGUAAUUGCUUCUUUGUUUCUUACUUUCGAAUGCCAAGGCUGAUCCUCCGGAUAUUGGCAUAAUCAUCCCGAUUGUUGGCAAUGCAUCUGACUGCUUUGACUACCCUUCCACCUUCGUUGGCUACGGAGGUGCUGACGCUCCAGAAUAUGGUGGUGGUUGUGGGAUUAUGGGGUGUUCAUGUGGAGCUCUUCUUUCUACAUUCUGAGCUUUAAAAGUCUAAGAUUGCCAAAUUGGUUCGUGUUUGAAAGUGGGAGUUGGCUGAUAAUUGAAAGCUUGUGUAGGUUGGAACGAUGACACCAAAGUCAUCUACUUCCCCAUCUACAUGGAGGCAGUGCCACUCACAUGACUCGAAUCAUUGGAUAAAAACUCCAUCGACUCAUGGAAGGACCUCAAGGUAGCAUUCACCAACAACUAUGCAGGGGCAAUGCAGCGUCCUGGCAAUAGGAUCGAUUUGUCUCAAGUUAAACAACAAGAAGGCGAGACCCUGCGGAGCUACUUACAUCGCUUCUUUGAUAAGAAGACCACAAUCGUGGACAUCACGGAGCGCGACAUCAUAUACUGCUUCCAGAACGGCGUCCAUGACCACCGGAUGUUCCAGGACUUCGACAGAAGAUGCCUCACUGAUGUCAAAUCUCUCAAGAUCAUGGUACAGGCAUGGACAGAUAAAGAAGACAGGGAGAUCGAAAGUUUCAAAUCCAAUCGCAACAAAGGCUAGAAUAGCAACAAUCAGAACAAUGGCCAAUGCAACGACAAGAAUCGCAACGAUCGCCCCAACAAUGACAACCGAAAUAACUACUCGGGAGGCCACAACUGCAAGCGAAAGCUAGACAACGCUUUCGCAGCAAUUUCGCAGUCAUCCAACAAAGGUGGUGGCAAGAAUAAAGACAGACCUUUGUUCAACGAGCUCCUGAAGAAACAAUGCCCAUGGCAUCCAUACCACAAACACUCUAUGAUAGAAUGUUUUAGUCUACGCAGAGUCAUGAAGGUUCUGUCAGAGCCAUUCGACACCAAAGACAAGGGCAAGGGCAAGGAAGACAAAGAUGAUGGUGGCAAUGGUAAGUUCUAGAACCCAUCCAACACCAUCAAAGUCAUCUUCAGCGGAACCCCGAGUACUGCUACUAAGCGGUCCCAUAAGCUCGCUCUUCGAGAGAUAAUGUCCAUUGAACCUGCAACGCCAAUGUUUCUCAAAUGGUCCAAGGUGCCAAUUACCUUCUCUAGGAAGGACCAAUGGACUAGUUUCUCUAGACUUACUAAAGUACUCAUCGAUGGUGGUAGCGGUCUCAACAUACUAUUCACCAAGACAAUGAAGAAGAUGGGCCUCGACAGCACCAAUAUACUCACCCCAAUGAACUCUCCGUUUAUAUAGGAUCAUCCUGGGCAACGCAGUGGUACCCCUCGGACAGGUGGUUCUGCUAAUUAUCUUUGGGACCAAAGAACACUACUGGACAGAAUACAUCAGGUUCAAGAUAGCGGAUUUCGAAACAUCAUACCACACCAUCCUCAGAAGACCAGCAUUGGCCAAAUUGAUGGCCAUCCCGCACUACGUGUACUUGGUACUCAAGAUGCUGGGACCCAAGGGAGUACUCUCCCUGCGCGGAGACUUGAAGAGGUCGUACGACUGCGACACAGAAGCCAUUGAGCUAGCAGCAACUAUCCAAGUACAAAACUCGAUGAUGCAAGUCUUCACUGCAUCUAAGAAGUUGUCCCCAUCUAAACUCGAAAUCCUAGAAAAGAAGUCGAGGACAACCAAAAUCAAGCCGGCAAGUGAAGUAGACGUUAAAGCCAUUGACCUGGAGAUUGGUGAUAGCUCCAAGAUAGCCUUGAUUGGCACAAGGCUAGAUCCUAAAUUGGAAAGCGUGCUCGCCAGCUUCCUCCGGGCCAACCGAGACAUUUUCGCGACGAAACCAGCGGACAUGCCAGGACGCCCAGGGAGUUGAUCGAGCACUCACUCAACCUGAAUCCAAAAGCUACACCAAAAAGAUAACGCCUACAACGAUUUGCCCAGGACAAAAGGGAAGCCAUCAAGAAAGAGCUAGCCAAACUACUCACGGCGGGCUUCAUAAAAGAAGUCUAUCAUCCAAAGUGGCUCGCCAACCCCAUCCUGGUGCGAAAGAAAAAUAACAAUGAGUGGAGGAUGUGUGUCGACUACACAGAUCUCAACAAGCACUGUCCAAAGGAUCCUUUCGGGCACCAAUAGAAAGAAAAGAAAAAGGAAUGAAAAAGAAAAGAAGAAAAAGAAGAAAACAAAUAAAAUGCUCCUCAGUUCUUUGAGCCUCAUUAAAGUUCCCAGUACUCUCAAGAUUAAGGAUUGAUCCAUACUCAAUUUUUCAACCACGUGCAAUCCGAUAACGAUGACUUCAUUUGUGCCUCGAGAUCAUUCAUUUGUCACUUGCACAUGUCCACUUAUAUAAAUGUGUGUGUUUCAUCCCUCUCCUUCUCCACAUCUAUUUUUCAUGGUCUUUUUGACAAGUCUCAAUAAUCCUAAUAGAUUUCUCUCUUAAUUUAACAAUAUUUCAGAUAUAAUGUUUUGCUAGGAUUGUUUCUACCUACCAAGCUCCACAUAAGCCUUCCACUUUCAUAAAUGAGUAGAAUAGGUUGAAAAUAAUCUAGUACAGGCUUGAGUGACUUGAUGAGAUAAAUGUUUCCAUGAGCUGUUGCAAGAGAAUCUCACUUGUGUUAUAUUUGCAUCUUUUUGAAAAACUCUUCACGAUGAAAUAAGGUAAAGGUCUGAAGUUCACUUAAGUUCAAGAGCAUUGUAUUUAUUUUAUUGCGGUAUGUUCUUUAUUGCUAGUCUAUCCUCCAUGAUGAAAAUUAGCCGGUCACAACUUGAACUUAUGCUAAAUACUUGAGAGAGAAAUGUGUCUUGUUAUGUACAACUGAGUGCAGGGACGACAUCAAAAGGCAAUGUUGAUUUCCUGAUUAAGUAAGUAUCCUGGACUUACUCGACGACGAGCAAGGUUUAAGCAUGGGGGGAUUGUUGACGCUCGUUAUUGACACACUUUUAGUGUCAUUUAAUUGGUAUUUUCAUAUAUAUUCUUAGGCUAAUCUGCCACUUGACACCAAAAAUAACCCCAUUUUUGCAUAUGCAUUGUAUUUUGGAGGACAUUCUAUUUUUACAGAAAAUUGAACUAUAUUGGAGCAUAAUUGGACAAGGCCCUAGAUGAGCAACAAUCCAGAGAAACACGAAGGCUAAUGGGUCCAAAAAGGGCCUAGACCGAUCAGCCUAUAGAGGCUGAGGCCGAUCGGCCUAGGGUCCUCAGGGCUUCGAUCAUGCUCAUGUUCAGCGAGAAUUUCUCCAAGAAUACUUAGGGGCUAAGUUUCACAAGAUAUGAUAAGUUCACUUUAGGACCAAAGAUGGAAACAAACAGGACUUUGAAAAGAUAUCAAAAUCCAUCCUUAUCCCGAGGCUAUCAACGUGCAAUUCCCGCAUGCAAGUAAAAAUAAGUUUCCAUAUCAUCAAAGAAGACUUGACGACGAAGUAGGACGCGAGAGGCCACAAGGACCAUGCUGAUCAGCAUGGACCCCCCAGGCCAAUUGGCCUGAGGCUUUCCUUGCUCCUCUCGCCUUCCAAUUUUCACCACGCUCUCCCCGGACUAUAAGUACCCCAAAAAUUCACCGACCUCUGGCAUCCAUCCACGAGAACUCGAUGAAACGAAGGACAUCCACCAGAGGAAGCUGAGGGCUGCUGCAAGUCUUCGAAGUUGUCUAGAAAAUGGCUUAGGCCGACCCUAGCCACCAUGGCUUCCCUGCGCGAUUGUGUCAUUGUGGAGUUCAGGAGCUAGUUAUGAUCAUCAAUGGUAUGUAAUCGGUGGUGAUGAUCUGAAUACAUUUCUUAUAUGAGCAAUGUUUUUCAUGUCAUCCGAUCUAUUAGCGACUCGUAUUCUCCUUUUAUGCUUUCUUCUUAUCAUGAAUAUGUUUAUUCCUUAGUCUAAUUGGAGGUUAGACUUCAUAGAAUGCUUUAUGUAAUCAUGGUGAUUAGAUCUAGUAUGUUGACCCUUCAUGAUAUUUAGACAUGUUCACUUGUGUUUGUGCCCUUAAACUACCUGCCCUGAUAGAGAGGAUCGUGAUAGGAUCUGGCUUGUGUAAAGUGGGAUUUUUGGGAGGUUGAUCGGAGGUAGUAGUUUAAAGAUUGCUUUGGAUGAGAUGCAUAUUGUGCUUGCUUGUUAGCUAGAACUACAACUAGAAGACGAUAGGCUCUUACUACCCUUGGUGGUUUUUUAUCAUAUACAUAUCUAUGGAUGUGAUCUACCUAUUCUCAUGAUUUACUUUUACACCAAGGUUACCCUCUUCAUAUGCAAUAUAUGUUUCAUGUUAGGAUUAGAUCCGUUAGAUUAUAUGGAAAAUCCUAGUUAGUUCGUUGCCGAUCCACGGAUUGAUAAACAUUGGAUGGAAUACUUUGAGGGAAAAGUCACGAUGAUCCGUGCACUUGCGGUUCACAAACUGGCGUGCUAACUACCAUCAACAAUCCCAAUCCUCCACACCUUCGCUUGAGCAACUUAGGUUGGCCGCCGGAUUCUUCCUAGAGGGAGUUCACGGGACUUUCGCGCUUCCCAACUUAAUCUUCCAUAGCGAAGGUUCCCACGGGACCUUCACGCUUCCCAACUUAGCCUUCCAUAGUGAAGGUGCCUGGGACCUCCGCACCUACCUAUGAAAAUACUUUCAACCUUCGCGCCUUCUUCCUUAUCCUACGAAGCGAAGGUGCCCCGGACCUUCGCGUCUUCCUUUGUUCCGUCCAAACAUCGUUUUAUGCAAUCAUACUUAAGUAAAACGUUACUUACCAACCGAGGGUGACAUUUGAUAUCUCCGAUCCAAAUCUAAAACAGCAACAACAUGGAAGAACCGCUCUAGUUUCCAUUCUGAAAACAAAUUCGAGCUUUUGAAAGUCAUAUCAUAGUGCGUACCGAGUCCUGAACCAGUUGGUCCAAGAAGCAGCUAGGUUCACUUCAUUAUUUCGGGAGCCUGUGUCUUAGUAAGGAUUUCCAUUCGGCCCAGAGACAAUUUGUUGGGCGCUUGUGUGUAAAGUUGGCCAGUUGGGGCUGUUUCUAGGACGACGACAAGGCUGCCUGCUAAAAUUUUAAUACCAUCACCAGUCUUGAGUCUUGACUCUUGUGCGUCUUGAUCUCGAAGAACCAUGGCUGCGGAUGAACUAUGCAUUCGUUUAGGUCACUUCCUUUUGAACUCAAACUUUAGGUCUCAUUCGGAUUACCUGGACAUGAAGGUGUUAGUACUUGGUUACAGGAAGGCAAAGCUAUGGAAGACAUAGAAGGGGGAAAAACCUAAAAAAAAGACGAACGGUUGCCAGACCGCAGACUUCGUUUUUUUCUAAAAUUUGUGUAUAAGGUCAAUAUCAGUGCACAGUUACCAAGUUAGUUACCAAGAUAAAAAACUGUAAUUGUGACAGUUGAGUUUCAUGGGGAAAAACUCUAUGAAACUCCUCAUAAUAAUCUUGCCAAGUUAGCAAUUUUGCUAACAUGAUAAUAAAUUUAAUGCUCAUGAAACUUCCAUUAAGAUCAGCUUGGAUUAGCGGGCAUCAUGAAGUAGUUAGUACUUCGAUUUCGUUGCAGAAACACAAAGCUUUGGGAAAAGAAAAAUCCCGAAAAAAGAAAGUAAAAGGAUAUUGACGAGAAAUCCGAUUUGGUUGCAGAAACACAGAGCUUUUGGGAAAAAACAUCCCGAAGCAAUUAAAAAGAUACACUGACGAGAGUGGGAUUUGAACCCACGCCCUUUCGGACCAGAACCUUAAUCUGGCGCCUUAGACCAACUCGGCCAUCUCGUCUCUGUGAUUGACACUGAACACAAAUAGUAAUGAUUAGAGUAUAUUCUUGCCACAAUCACGUGUCCUACUUCGAAUCUGACGGAAUAACUAACCGAAAUUGUCUCAAACGAACAACAAAUUAUACAAAGGAGAGAGUAUGGGUCUACUUCUAGAGAGUAACACACCAAUCAUACAUUCACCAACGUGUUAUAUUAUAAGUAUACACAAGUGGACCUUGAUACAGAUCGAUCUACUAACCUGUCAUGCAUGCUGCGGCCCAAGUGAACCCAGCCCGACUGCUCGUUCCAACCUCCAACUAAGGGUCCCUUUGGAAUUCUUGCCGGACACUCGCCUCACCUUGCUGUAAGGCCGCUUGUAGCAAGCUUGCCUGGCUGGGCAAGGAUUUCCUUGCUCACGUAGGAGAGCCGAUUCCGCUCUCCUGCGUUGGUAGGUUAGCUUGCUCACCGAGAAGAACACAAGACAAGCACGAGAUGUCACGGAAUCCAGAUCUGCCGCUGUCGAAUCGAGUCCGGUGCCGUUGAAUCGAACUCACCGGCACCAAAUCAGACCUUGCCGCCACUAGUUGGAGUUGCCACAUCCAGCCUCGCGCCACCGAAUCGGGCCAGCGGCCGUCAAAUCGAACCUCGCGGCAGCCGAAUCGAACCCCGCCGUCGCCGAAUCGAACCCCGCUGCCGCCGAAUCGAGCUGCUCCACCGCUGAAUCGUGCUGCUCCACCACCGAUUUGGUGAGGCGAGGCGAGCGGCGGCAAGGGAUCCGAACGGACCCUGAGCCUGUUUCUCUACAGCUAAAAAAAUUAAAACUAGAAAAAACAUCGUAGGUAAAUCGCGUUACGCGCUUUGGGUCUGCCAUCGAUCGAUGCAACGCCGUCCAUAGCCCUCCGCCCCUCCGCGCACAAACCGCCUGCCGUUUGAUCCCCCGCAUCCCUCCGAGCCGUACUUCGCUCCGCCCGCCGCGCUCCCCCCUCCUUUCCGCCGUUCGUUCGCCUCCCGUUCACCCUCCUCACGAUCUCUUUCUCGAGCCGCCGACGGCGCCCGUGCCGCGCCGCCGCCGUCCCCCAUCCUCUCCGCGCCCCGACCCCUUUCUCGAGCAGCCGCCGCCGCCCGCCCUCCAUCGCCAUACCCGCGCCGCCGCCGUCCCCGGUCCUCUCCGUGCCCCAAUCGCCAUACCAGCGCUGGCACCACGAACGCCAGCACGCGGCCCAGCCUCGUCGCGGCCGCUCGCCAGCCGGCCUCCUCGGCUCAAGGAGACAUUCUCCGUGGACGUCGCGGCGGCUGAGGCGGCCCCGCUCGCCGUGCCCCUCGCCGCGCCCUUCGCCAUCGCGUCCUCGCGCCUCGACGCCGUCUCCAUCGUCGCCGUGCGCGUCGAGCUCCGCAGCGGCGCCGUCGGGUGGGGGAGGCACCCGUGCUGCCAUCCGUCGCCGACGAGGACCAGCCGGCCGCGCUCGCGGCCCGCGGCGUCGCUCGGCGCGCUGCUCGACGAGGUCGCCGGUGUCCUCCCUGGACACGCCUUUGCAUCGGUGAGGAAUCCGCACCUUCCCUCGCCCGGCUCGCGGGGUAGUAAAAUUUGCAUUCUGUUGCAGCUGGGUUGACAGGUGCUUGAUCUUGAGAUGAAGUGAAAAGUCUAGGAUGUUGUGGAAAUCUUAAAUUGUUGAACGUGGUGAUCCCGAUGUUGAUGGGGUGACUGCACUUUGAAGUAUAGGCUUUGAUGUAGAUGGGAAUUGCCUUUCAGGCGCUGAAUUACUGAAAGAUUUUGUUUCUUUCAGAGGAUCUAAUUUGUUGCCAUCCUUACGAGGUGAGUGGCAUGAAUUUUGCCAUCAUGUGAGAGGGAUGAAUGUGAGAUGGCCUUCAGAGGAAGCGUAACUGAAAACCAAGCUUGGUUAUAACCGUUAAUAUUUGCUCUGGAUGGUAACUGGCCUGGUGAAAUCAUCCUUGAAAACCCAUUUAACCUGAAAAAAAAAUGUUUGGUUAGUUAUAAGCUUAGAGCAGUUCAUUCAGAAUACAAGCCCCUAAACCAACCAGUUUUGUAUCCCAAAAAAAAAACCUACAUAAGCAUAAAGGUCCUUUCCAUGUGAAAAAUCAAUUAUUUUGUUUUGCUCAUGUAGAAAUGUACCAUUUAUAAAAAAAGACCGUUGAUGAAUAAAUGGAAAAACAGGCAUGGAUUAUUGUUUGUUUCUGAUAUUCAUAUGUGUACUCAAGUGUUCGGUUGUUGUUUACACAUCAAAUACAAGAUUUCCCAUUCCAUGUGUAUUUGAUUGUAAUUGUUUUCCAAUUAAGGCUAGAGCAGGAGUGGAGAUGGCACUGAUUGACGCGGUUGCUAACAGCAUUCACAUCCCUCUCGUGAUUAUUUGGAGGGGCAUCAGAUACUGUGACCACGGACAUAACGGUAUAUUUUUAUCCCAUCAUAGUCUGCACUAUGUCCAGAAAGUUAUAAAUACCUUCACCAAAUAACAUAUUCCAUAUUUCCCAACCUAGAUUCCAAUCGUGGCCCCAAAUGAAGCUGCUCAAUUGACUGCAAAAUAUCGAGGGCAAGGGUUUCAAACACUGAAGCUCAAGGUUGGGAAAAACUUGAACUCAAAUAUGGAAGUUCUGAAGGCUAUACGGUUUGUCCAUCCAGACUGCUCAUUUAUCUUGGAUGCGAAUGAGGGAUACACAGCUGAUCAAGCAAUUGAAGUUCUUGAUAGACUAAAUGGUUUGUACUCCUGCAAACUCUGUGCUACUAUAUCAAUUCACCUUUUAAUCUUGCCUCAAUAUGUUGAAUUUAUUAGCUGUUCAUGAUCUGUAUAUUCCAACCUUCUCCCAGUAGUUCUUCUAACUUAUUUUUGUUUCUAUUCUGUCACUGGUUUUAGAAAUGGGUGUGACCCCUGUACUCUUUGAGCAACCAGUUCACAGAGAUGAUUGGGAAGGUGUCCAUGAUGUUAGUAUUGUUGCCAUGGAGAAAUACAAAAGUCGCUGUUGCUGCUGAUGAAAGUUGUCGGAGUUUACUUGAUACUCAGAAAAUAAUACAUGGGAAUCUGCCCCAUGUUAUUAACAUCAAGCUAACAAAAUUAGGGGUUCUUGAGCCCUUGAAAUAAUCGACGCUGCAAGAAAAGCCAAUGUCACUUUGAUGAUUGGCGGUAUGGUUGAGACUAGAAUCGCUAUGGGUUUUGCUGGUCAUCUAGCUGCUGGGCUUGGUUGUUUCAGGUGCGUUUGUUGUGAAAGUAUGAAAUCAUUUUUAAACAUUGUGCUUAGGUUGCUCCAGCCAGCAAAUUGAAAGAAAUAUUACUUUGUUCAAGACCUUAUAUAUGUUGAAUCAGCUGCUAAAAUUGUUCUUGAAGCAUAUGGAUGCAGUUUUGUUGAUCUGUACACACCUCAUUUACUGUCGGAAGAUCCAGUGUAUGGCGGCUAUGAAGGUAGUCUUACUCUCUGCACAAAACUCUUUAUAUGUCUGCAGCUCCUUUUUAAAGAUAGUGGCUACUGGCGACUACAUUCAUGUCUACUUUUAUUAAAAAUGGGAAACUACGGUUGCAGGUCCAGUAAUGGUUUCAGGCCCACAAAGAUUCAGUAAUGCUUUCGUAUGAUGUGUCAUAUGUGUUCUUUCCUUGACUCAGCCUGCUGAACCCAAACCCUUCUGUAUCUCAAUUCUCAUUUGAGGAAACUACUUAUGUCGUGGAAAAUCUGUAUCUCAGUUGUCUUGAGGCUGCUAUGCUUGUUGGGAGAUUGAUCCUUUCAAGCUGCUGACCUUCAUAAAACAAAUUAAGUCUCAAACUGUAUCUCCAGUUUAUUGUUUAUACGACUCAUGCAAAUUCUCUCUCCAGCCUUUGAACCUCUGUCGUACAAGUUCACAAACGCCCGAGGCCAUGGUGGUUUCCUUCACUUGGACAACGAUGAAUCGGUAUAUCACAGUUAUCCCUGAUGCUUAGUUACCCUCUGGCUUCCUGUAGAAGUAUUGUGUUCUUCUCCUUGUUUCAUGUGGGAGCAUUGUAUUUUUUCCCCUGAACUGACAAUGUAGCUAGCUGAUUUGGGGGAAAACGAGGGAUCUUUCCCUUCCUCUCAUCUGUCACAUGAUGCUUGUGGGGAAUUUCCCUGCGUUUAAUUCCUACGUACAAAUCCUGCUAAAUUUUGGUCUCACCAUUCCAUAGUGGGUAUUAUUUUUUUUCAUGUGUGCCUAUACCUAUGUGCAACGUCAAGUUGUAGCUUCUUCUAUUUAUUUUUUGAACUUUCAGGUACCUUGAAAAUAUAUUAAGAUAUUGUGGUCGAUGCAUAUCUUUUUUGUUCCCCCCUUUUGUUGCACUCUUGUUAAAUAAGAUUUUUUUAUACUUACUGAUAUGCUUGAGAUCAAAUCAGAUUAUAAUAAUGAUGCUCAGAGUAGGGUUUGUCAUGAAAGAUGGCCACCAACCUCUUAAUAACAUCCCUGUCUUUUUGGGCAGACUCCUCACGGCACAUGGUAAACCUAUGCUAUUAAACUGCCUUCACCAGAUUACAAUGAACUGUGAACUUCAGAACUUUAAUUUUUGAUAAGUUGGAGUCGAUGCUUAAGACUUCAGAACUUUAUUUAAUAUAUGACAAUUUUAAUAGCAGUUUGAUUGUUUUACUCCUGAGUACCAACAGCUCUAAAUUUUUGUGCACUGCACCCUUAGUUUUUGAGUAAAUAAUACUGAUUGCUGAGGUUACAAUGCAUCUUUCUAUGUGGGACUAUAGUUUUGUCAAGUAAGGCUAUGUACACAUUGAUAAAUCUGCUUCAGAAUAAUAUGGCUGAUACAUUGCAAUCUCAUUAUCUGAACAAAAUUAGGUCUAUCUGUUAUUAGUAGAAGGCUUACUUGUUAAAAAGGACCUAAAUAGGUUUCUUUGUCUAUAUGAAUCUUCGGGGAAUUCUGCUUAUCUUCCAUGGAUAGAUGCUACUUCAUGUGUGUGUCAGCUUUUUGCUUGCCAAAGGAGCUUGUGACUUGCAACUACUACUUAUUCAAUGAUCUCUAAUAACUGAAUCAUUUUGUUCAGAUUCUAAUUAUCAGAUCUUUUCCUGAUCUCUUUAUGUUUUGAGGUGUUGGAUGAGAAAGGGUUAAUGGUGGUUGCUACCAUGCUACAAGAAAUCAGAGCUUGUCGUUAUGAGUGCUGUAGUUGAAGUGAGGUUAGUGUACGUUAAACCAUGAUGGGCCUAGGAGACUUCAUCAUUCUACACUCAAGAAGCAGAAAGGUGAUUGUUGCCCCCCACGACUUGUUGGAUGCAGGUUGGUUUGGUGUUUGCAUUCGGUUGGUGUUUGCAUUCGGAUCAGGUACGAUUCAUAAUGCUUUGAUCCGCGAUUCUUAGAAAAUGUUGUGUUUCAGGCAGCCAGUGUGUUGACGCAAAAAUCAGACGAUGACCUUCGCGUACUAACACACGUCUCUCGAUCCAAGGCGUGCCAGUCAAUUUGACUUGCUAAUUGACAAGGAUAAAGAAGAUGUUAAAUUUGAGAGCGAAUCGGCUGAUGUUCCGAUUAGCUCCAGGAGAUCGUAACGGCCGGGUAGCCGAUACAGAAAAAGGACGAUAGGUUAGGUUAGCCGAUGUAUGCAUAUUCAAUGCAAAGGAAUUGUUGAAACGCAACCUAAACAAUGCUACGUGAACAAUACUUGAAACAGAUCCGAUCGAAACCUAUUCCAAGCUGGAUAGUGGUGAUAGCAACAAGAUUUAUAUAAAUAAACUUGCAGAUCUAGUGAAUAUCGAUAACUUGAUGAAUAAAUCUAGACGAAACAACAGUGAUGCACUGGAAGUUAAAGUCUAGAAAUUACUCGUUAAAACGGAACUUACAGUCCAGCUGGAGAUCAAGAUGAUACAGCCCUGCUAGCUUGGAGAACUCGUGAAGAAAAAGAAAUCUUUGGCGAAGUCACCAACUUGAAAGUAAAUUACGAUUAAAAUAGAUUUGUUUGUUUGUGCGUACCUAUUUUUCAGACCUUACAGGGUUUCUAUUUAUAUCCUAAACUCAAGACUUCUAAUGGGUUUCUAUUUAUAUCCUAAACUCAAGACUUCUAGUCCUAAUUGAUUAGGACGCAAUACAAUAUCUGUCCUAAUUGAUUAUGACGCAAUACAAUAUUUGUAAGUAAAGAAACAAACUUUUCUAAAUAAAAUGACUCGUACAAGAGUCGGAAAUGAAUUUGACCUCCCUUGACCAACUCUACAUCCAUUGUCUCGCAAUAUCUUCGCCGAUCAAGACUCUUGCCUUUUAACGGUCGAACCCUAAUAUCUCCGAUCAGCUGGAAUCCUCUUGCUCGCAUCGGUUAGGUCUCCGUCACCCUUCAUCGGCUGACACCUUCCGUCCUCAUCGGUUGGGUCUACAUCACCUUUCAUCGGCUAAACCUUUGUGACUCUAUCGAUCGUUUUCACUAGCCGUUGCCAUUUUGUCAUGCAUCAACAUCUCUGCUUCCUUUUGACGUCAGUUUUGACACGUGUCAAAAAACGGUGUCAACAAUGUUAAUCGGUUGCUUGGGAUUCUUUUGCUAGCAAGUAGUAAGGUUGCAAUUUCGUCAUCACCUGCAGAUAGGCAUCGAGGUAUUUUCCGCAUCCAGGAGUGUGUGCACCGCGUUCGUGGGAGCGGUGGAGAAGAAAGGCCAUGAAGCGGCUCCCAGGACAAUGUCGUCGACGUCCACGGGGCCUUGUGCAGGUCAGCUUCUGCGGUUCUACCCAACCUUGGUCUAUGUGAGCUCUGGCUUUGCGAGCGCAUGGAGACACCCCCACGGCACAUGACCGGUUGGAGCAAUUGGCUGGUAGCUUGCCAUGAUGUGCACUUUCGAUCAGUUCAUGAUGGCCUCCAUGCGCGUGAAGGUAAUGUGCUCGUGGAAAUUCUCCUAGAGCAAUGUCUGGAUUAAGCCACGAAUGUCAUCAUAUUGUGUGAACUAUGCAAGCGUUUUCUGAAACAUUACAUGUGCGGUAGUACAGUUAAAUAUGAUAAUAGAAUGAUGCUCGUUUUAUGAUUUACAUGGAUGGAUUUCAAGAUGAAUUUAACAAUUGUACUGCAUUCUGGCUUUAUUUUGUCAUUUAUAAUGACCUGUUGGUUUGAAACUUGCUCAUGCAUGGCAACUGAUAUAUCUUCAUGAAUUAGCAUGGACCUAGAAAACCCAUGGAAAGAUACCGAGUACAGAAAAUUUCAUAUUUUGGGUGUUCAAAACAAGUUAUUUAAGAAAGCAAAAGGAUCCUUCUUUAAAUAAGGGCAUAUGAUUUAAAUAAGGGCAUAUGAUUUGUUGUAAAAAAUAUAGGUUUCAUGUCAUCCUUUGGUUUCAGACUUUCGGGCAUGCGAUAGAUUUGGUUUUGGGCUUGAAUGCUCUGGCGUAUAUAAUUUUAUUUAAUUCAUUAACUACGUUCUUGAUUAAUUUUUUUUAAUAUUUAGAUUUAUUUUCACAUUAUUAUUGUCUCGUCGAAUACUCCAUGUAUUUCUAUAUAUAUUGCCCGUAGCAAUGCAUGGGCACGAUCCCAUUAGAUGAUUAAAAUUUAAGUUUAACUUUAACUAAAGUUUAGACGUCUAAACUUUAGUUGGCUAAAAUUAGUCUUGUCUGGUUUGGAGCGGACCUAAUUUUUAGGUAAAAGUUCAUUCUAUCCUUAGAGGGUGUAGGGGAAAAAUAGCAAGAUUUCAGUGGGAGGGUAUUUUUUAUCUUUAUGACUAAAAUUAGCCCCCAUUAGCUGAGUUUGGAGGAUUAAUAAAUUAAAAUUUAGUUGGAGAGUUGGCUAAUUUUUAGCUCACCUUUAGUCCCAAACUUGUCCCACAGUUUGGAUCAUCAAAAGCUAAUUUUUAACCUGAUUAAGUUUGACCUUGGAUCCAAACCGAACCUAACCUAGUCAUGCGAGCUUAAAGCCAGCACUGUGUUAACUCUUGGUCCAUCCAUCUACAUAGGCGUGCCCGUUUUUUUUUUUGCAUAUUGCAAAAAUGCAAAGUAGCUUAGGUACGUAUCCUAAUUAAGUAUUUUCUUCCAGCAAGCUUACGUUGCACACUUGUAUAAUGUUAGAAAUAGGGAUAAUUGGUGAUCAAUUAGUGGUUAAUGGUGCUGCUAAUAAUGACAUAUUUCACUAUGCUAAUUUUAUGUUAAAAAUAUUCGUGCAUCCUAUAAACUCGGUCAAUUUAAGUUAAAGAAAUUUGGCUUAAAAUAAAACUAAAAUGUUCUAUACUUUAAAACCGAUGGAGUAUAAUUAAGCUUGCACGUUGUACGCCGUUGGCUUGACCUAGUGGAUGCAUGGUUGGCACGGCACGACCUAGUGGAUGCAUGGUUGGCACGGCACGUGCAUACGUAUAUAUGCUACAUGCAGAGGUGGAUCCAGGAUCUCUAGAUAUGGGGGCUCAUUUCCUCCUCCUUCCUUCCUCCUCUCCGGGGGUUCCAGCCCCCACACUAGAUCCGUCCCUAGCUACAUGCAAAUCUUUUGAAAUUAGAACAAACGAUUGAGUAAUCCACUAGCUCUAGAACCAAUUUGGCUUAAUGGUCCAUUACUCGAUGUGUCAUGUACAUCAUGGAGAUAAUAUACUCCAUCAUGGUACAUAGGGACAUAGCACGCCCCAUCCAUCUUAUUAUUUUCUCAUGAUGUUCUUUAUUCCUUCUUGCAUCUUCUUCUUCCUCUUUGACAACCUUAGCUUUGAUCACUCUUGUUAGCUUCACAAAGAUACUGACUUUGACACCCUUGUCUCAUGCCACCCUUGUGAAGACCUAGGUUAACAGCGGUGAGGGGGCCGCCACUCAAGUUUGAAAAAACAUAGCUAUUUUACAAUGUUCCACCGUAAAACCCAAAUAACUUAUAGUCUAAUUACUCUUACUGUUGACGUAUGUCUUUUUUUGGCGCACCCCUUGGACCUCUUCGCCGCUCCAGUAGCUCACGUGGGCUAUCAUAACAUGAUACUAUAUCUUGGUGACAUCAUGUGGUGCAGGAGCCUCCUGCUAUUUGAAUAGUGUUUUCAUGCAUAUUCUAUACUAACCCAUCACUUGGUACUUGAAAUAAUCCCAUUAUUACGUAUUGUGUUUUGGACCAUAUUGCAAAAUCACAGGAAAUACGAUAUAAAUAAAGGGUUUUUCUACAAGGUGUACUUGGGUCCGGACUUUGGAUAUUGAAAGGUCCAAAUCAUGAACAUUGAAUUGCAGGCCUGCAGAAGAAACUGAACUUGCACGGGCUAUAUCUUCCUCAUCCGAACUCCGAUUGGGGCGAAUUUACAAGAAAAAUUGCAUGGCUCAACGAGAUAUACAACUUUCGUAUGAAGCGCUCGGGCAUUAGAGGCCAAUAGGGGGUGGGCCGAUCGACCUCCCCUUUCACCUUUCACCAGGAGGAAGCUCGUGAUGUCCUUAGGGUUGUUUUCCAGAUACUUGGCCUCAAAGGCACCCUAACUGACGCCGCCAACUAUAAAUACCAAGACAUGCAACAAGGAGGAGGAUCCCGACGAGUCUAGACCUAGCCACCGCCGCCACAAGAUGAAAAACAGGGAUUAGAUCUAUCACCGCGACGACCAACGCCGACCAACGCCGACGGAGGGCGGGAGGCACGAAGAAUCCCUCAGGCCUAUCGACCUGAGGAGCCCUAAGCCAAUCGGCCCAGGGUGUUCUUACACUCCCUCGCCGCCAUCUUCGGUGACGACAUUCUCCAGAGUCUUCUUCCCCCCCUUUUUGCGUCAAUCUCUGUAAGAUGAUGGGGUAAAGCCUCCGUUCAUCCCUAGGAUUGUUUGGAUCCUUGAUAUGUAACUACUACAUGUACUUUAUGCUUAUCAAUUCUUCAUGGUCUAUAUCAUUGCAAUGCUUCAUUCAUAUGUGUUCUAAUCAGCCCAUAUUCUUAGUAGUGUGUGUGGUAAUCGUGGCGAUUAGCUUAACUAUGUGGACGCUUUGAUAUAGAUGUGUGAGCGAGAUUGUUGAGUACCCCUGUGUAGUGACGGUAUGCAGUAGGGAAAGAGCGGAGCAAGCAUAUAAUCGUUGUGAAGCUAGUGAAGGUAACACCCCUUUUGUAUUGUAGAUGUAUAUUCUUGUGAACCUAGAUCUUAGGAAGGGAACGCAUAUCUAUCUUUAUUUUCCAUCUUGUAUCACCCUUUGCUCUUUGUUAGUUUAGAUUAGUUUGUCUCUCUACACAACUCAUAGUCUUAUUUCGUUAGUAAAGUCACUAUAAAGUGAGAGCCAGCAUCCCACUUAUCCACGGAUUGAUAAACCUUGGAGGAUACUCUAAUGGAAAAGUUACAAUUGAUCCAUGCAUUUGUGGUUCACCAAUUGAUGCGUUAACUGCCAUCAACACCUUCCAAAAUGCAGCUAAGGAACAUAUUUUUUAAAGUUCAUGUACAAACAUUUUUCUUUACUAUUUUUUACAUCCAUUAACAUUUGUUGACAAUCAUCAACAUUUUUUAUAAAUUGUCACCAACAUUUCUUGGCGUUGACAAACAAUUUUUAUAUGUACCAACAUUUUUAUUCAAAUUUUUUGCAUUCACCAAUAUUUUUGGCUCAACAUUUUUUUGACAUUCACCCAUUUUUUUAUGAGAUAGUUCACCUAAAAUAAUGUUGACUUUUAAAAAUGCAACAAAAUAUAGUCAUACUGGAUCUCAUUGUAGUAUUAAUCCAGCAAAUAUCAUGGUUCAAAUAUAUUUUAAAUUGGAAAUAGACUUUAAAUUGGAUGCAUGGGUUAAGAGAAAAAUAAAUCAAAAUUUCAGAUUCAAAAGGAAUCCCUCCGGUCAUGCAUCCCGAGCAGCCAACUAGGCUCUGACGCGUGUCCUGCUCCCCUCCUCUAACCGGUUGUGCGUGGAGCAACAAUUGCAUGUGCGUUGAUCUCGUCCAUUCAUUUCGGUUUGCACGGAUCUCAAAUAUUGGAAGGUGGAUAACAAAUUUUCUUUUGCAAGAUAUAUAGGUUUGCUGGUGGUACAACCGGAUUAUCAAGGGAAUGGGAACAGAAGGCCCAAUGCAUGUUCAACUCGUGGGCCUAAGCCAUUAGCAAGCCCAAGCUUAAGGAUUCCACUCAUUCAUUGCUAGAGGCGACAAAAUUGCCUGAUGUCACCUGAAGCACAACUCGGCCUGCUCAAUAAACAGUAGCAGCAUGCAACCCAAAGAAGGGAGUAUGAACGUGGUAUGCAGUUGGACCAACCCAAAAUGUAUAACAUUCUUUGACUGAAAGUGGGAUUUUUUUUGGCUGAAAUGGCCAGUCAAAAUAACGUAACAUGAAGAAAACUAAUAUAACCAUUAAAAAUUUAUUCUACAAAGUGAACAAUAAGGUUGAACACAUGAAAAAAUACUUUCGCACUUAGAACAAAUUAGUCUUGCAUGUGACCAAUUUAGUCAACAAAACUACAAAAGUGAACAAAAUGACCCUGCAUGUGAGAGAAAAAAAUACAUGAAGAACAAACUCAUCAAUAUUACAAACAAAUUAUGUUUUCAGGCUAACAAAGUAUGUAUACAUGGUGGAAAUGACUAGUAUAAAAAAAGAAAAGAAAAAAUAAGAAGAAAGGAUAGUACUACAAAAAAUAAAAGGAGAAAGGAGGAAAGAAAACUAGUAUUACUGAAAUGAAAAUAAAAAAAUACAAAUUUUAAUAAGGAAGAAAAGGAAAAAUAUAAAAAAAAGCAAAUGCUUGAAACGGAAAAUGAAACAAAAGGAAGAAAAAAAUAAAGGUAGAAUAAAUAUGAACUAUACCAGUAUUAAAUGACUGCACGAUUAUUUUGAAGGGAAAAUAAAAAAUAAAUAAUGAAUAAUAAAAUAAAAAUAAACAAAAGAGAACUAUAGAAGAAAAAGCAAAAUAAAAAUAAAAAAAUACAAUAAGAUGCAGGAGGCGCCAGGCUUGCGCAGGCCACGGCAGUGUAUCCCCACGCGGCCGAAAACGUUAUUGGUCCGGCACCUCUUUUGCGGGCUAAAAACGUUAUUGGGCUGAAUUCCUUCAACCAUCGUGUGUGCGCGCGACAAGAGAUCUCCACGGGAUCUUUUCUUAAAAUUUCUUGAUCAGAACUACUACGAACGGAUCGGUACGAGUCGCAUAUGUUUCUAUGCGCAGUGUUGGUCUAUUGGCAGGACAUCCGUAGAAGGAACUCUAAUCGCCAUUGAUCUACUGUUACUGCGUUCCAAAAACAAUAGGGAUGAGUCUGCGAUGGGAAGUAAUACCUACCGGAUGCGCAGGGAAGCAAUUGCAUGGACGAUUCUGCCAACUAAUAAAUCCCGGGUGCUGAAACUGAUGGCCAGCUGAAUAAUAAUUACUCUAUCCGUUUCAAAUUGUAGGUUAUGUGUACGUACCUAGACAUACACUAUAUUUCGGUGCAUAUAAACAUCUAUACACUUAGAAAAGUCAAAAUGUACCUGCUAGCUGACGCCUCGUGCUGCUCUUUCUGGUGUGGUCGAUACAACCAAAAGGAAAGUAGCAGUGGCAGCAGUAGCAGCAGCAAAGCAAGACAAACAGCUGCAUCAUUUCUUGUUCGUCUAGGUUGGACCCAUCAGCCGAUCCCCGUCCAUGGCUGGAGCUAGCUAGCUUGCUUGCUCAUAUUGUAUAUUUCCAUGCCACUUCAGGAGACUUUCUUCGUUUUUUUUAAAAAAAAUAGAUAGACAUUUGCAGAACAUUUUUCAGUGUGGGAUGCACGCACUCGGUAUGCAUGCGCCGACAGGAGAAGGGCAAGGCGUUGCAGGUCCAUGUGAGCCACCCGCGUCGAUCCCCUGCUGCCUCAAGCAGCAAGCACCGAGGCAUAGUUGAGUGUGAUGCGAUGGACGGUUGCGCACACAGCUAUCACGGUUGCAGUCUUUGCCAGUUUUGCAAGUCUGUGUUUCCAAAAGAACGGAGCCUAGCUAGCCUUGGAGGCAUCAGGGGAUAGCCAAGACUUUUGGGGUUGUAUGCAACAGAACGCAUGGACUUUGUGGAGAGAAUCUCGCGGCGUUAAUACAUUCGGUUAAUCUUCGGUGGUCAAAUGCAAUGUACCUUCGAUUUGCCAAAAUACUCCACCCACGCAAUUAACUAGUUUGAUUGUGUGUUGCUUAACUUUUUCCACCAAAAAAAAGUCUAAUGUGUAAAAUCUUAACUCCUACAACCUGUAGCCUUAUGUGGAUGAAUCCAAGAAUUGCCAAGCCGUAUGCCCAAAUCCUAUUGAUCUCGUAUUAAAUCCGGCCAGUUAUGCAAAUGCAAUUUUCCAUUCUAUGGCCGUGACAUUCAUUCACGCGCGUGACAUUUUUCCUUGCAGCAGUUAUUUUCUGUUUAUUUUGUGGAUCUUCAGUUUUACAAAGUGCCUUGAACGCCCUUAAUUUUCUAACCCUGGCACUGUGCGUAUUUAAGUGCUGUGCUUAAGCAACUUUCUCACCUCCCCCCCGAUCCCACUUUUCAAUUCCUUCCUCUCUCGCUCUUGCUUGUGGAGAGGAUGCUUGUCACCUACUCCUUUUAAGUUCCCCACUCCCCCCUCUCACCUUCCGCCUCUUUUCCAUCAUAUUAUUGUUAUCCUUGAGGCCCAAAGCCAGCACAGAGCAAGCAAAGGGAGAAAGAAAGGGAGGGUGGGGGCCAAAGGAAGCAAGCAGAAGCAGCAGCUCACUCCUCGAGCAUUGCAGUUGCAGCGCUUGCUCUGUGCUGGUCUUGCUCAAUUGGUCUUCAGGCAGGAAUCCCUGCUUGCUCGGUGAUGGACAGGCACACCUGCAAGCUCUGCUUCCGGAGGUUCCACAAUGGCCGCGCGCUGGGCGGCCACAUGCGCUCCCAUGUCAUGGCUGCCGCGGUGACGGCAGCGUACUCGCCGCCGCCGCCACUGCCGCGGCCGCAGUCGCCGCCGCUCUCCCUGGCGUCCACCUCGUCGACCGAGAUGGACGACAAGCCGGCGCAGCACAAGCCGGUGGCGUCGUGCGGUUUACGCGACGGCGCCAAGAAAAGGUCCAGGAUCGGCGCCCCUGAAUUCUCCGGCGGUUGGGCGGCCGGCGGCGAUUCGUCGGUCGUGCAGGACGGCGAGAGCGACACGGAGUCACCCCCGCGGUUCGCCGUGAGCCGCCGCCGGUCGAAGCGGUCGCGCCGUCGCGCGCAGCCACCGGAGUCCACGCCGGAUCCCGAGCAACCGGCGAGCAGCGUCUCCGACGCGACGACCGAGGAGGACGUGGCCAUGUCGCUCGUGAUGCUGUCCCGGGAUUCGUGGACGCGGUCCAGAUCCGGGCCCAAGCACCACCGGGCCCAGGCGAGCUCGGAAGCCGAGCAGAACAACGACGACGACGCGGACGAGGCCGAGCACGGCCACGACGUCGCGCGCCCGCGCGGCAGGCACCAGUGCGGCGCGUGCAGGAAGGUGUUCCGUUCGUACCAGGCGCUGGGCGGCCACCGCGCCAGCGUCAAGAAAGGCAAGGGCGGGUGCGUGCCGGUGCCGUUGCCGUUGCCGCCGCCAACGCCUCCCACCGCGCCGCCGUCCAAGGCUCGGCGCGUCGAGACCUCCCCGGUGAUCCACCAGUGCCCGUUCUGCUUCCGCGUGUUCGAGUCCGGGCAGGCCCUGGGGGGCCACAAGCGCACGCACAUGCCGUACGCCGGCGCGCCGGCCCCUUCGACGCCAGCGAAAUGCGGCGACAGCUCGGGGUCCAUCGAUCUCAACGUGCCGGCCGCGGUGGACGACGACUUCGAGCUCUCCGCCGUGUACGACGCAGAGUUCGGCAGCAGCACCAGACAAUGAGCUCACCUGCUGAUGCUGAUGCUGAUCGAUACAUGCUACCAACGCCAUCUUCAGAUCGGAAGAUGUACUUGCACAAGCGCAGGAACUGCAGACUAGCUGCUGGCUGCUGCUGCAUGCUGGAAAGAGAUCGAGCACUCGAGGUUCGAUGUAAGGGCUUGGGAGUUGGAAUCCAUGCAAGAACCAGAUGGAGAACGACAGUUGAGCGUUUUAUUUUCUCUCUUAAUUCUCUCUGUUACUCUAUUGCGAUUGUUAGUGUAGCAGUUCGUGCCUAAUUAGAUGAACAGCAUAUUCAAUUCUUUUUGAUCUCUUGUACCUAAAUCAAAUUGACCCAUUUACUUCAAAUUUCUCAUUGAAAAGUGGGGGCAAAAGAAAAUUGCAUUCACCAUGUUCUUGACCUGUCCCAUUAAACUCUGCUUCAUUGAACCUCAUACUCACAGCACUAGCAGCAAGCCAGCAAAAGCAGUGGCAACAGAUGCAUGUACUAGCUAUAGUAACUUAUGCUCGCAAAACCACCAACGCUUUGGCUCCAAGAAUUUGGCUGUAGUACAUUGAAAUUUCACAUGCCGGAUCAAUCGUACUAAUUACUAGUAAGCCAUACCCCGGUGGUUUUAUAGCUAACUCCUCCCCGCUGUUCGUCGUUAGCCUUUCCAGCUGUUGGCCACACUGCCUCCCGCCUUGGCACGUACCAGAGCGCUGGUUCGUGCAUCACGCGACUCAUACCGCACCGUACCAUCUCGUUCAAAUGCUUAGUACUCUCGGUUGAGUACUCCCACCAUUCACCAAGUCAUGAGCUGUGUGUGUGCUUGUGCCACAGCAUCAGGCUCCACCAGAACAGUGCCAUGAGUACCUGAGCUUAGCUUGGCUUCUCUCCUAGUGCUAGUGCUAGUCCAGCUCGCUUUGCUUGCCUCAGACUCCGAUCAAUGCAGCAGUAGCAGCCUAGCAGGCAGCUGCUCGUGCUUGCUUCCCAGCCAAAAAGGCUCCCCUGCUCUUGCUCUGCUCGCGGCUCGCGCCAUUCGUUUCCACCGCCGCUACCGGCCGGUGCCCCGCUCGUGCUCGUGCAUGUGGGCUGUGGGGAAGGGCACCUGGUCCCCCGCCCCCGCAUGGCAGCGUCGGUGUGGGGGUGCGCUUGCUCUGCCGGUCUGCCCAGUUUGGUGGCUGGCUGUGGCUGUGGCCUGUGGGAGCGGGUUCCGCCUGCGCCCAACUGCCCGCCGUCGCUUCUUGUCCUGACUCCCCGCCUUGGCGGUUGCCUCCCGCGCAUUUCUGGUCCUGGGCCCUGGCGCCUAGCGACCCGGUCGGCUUCGUGCCUUCGUCUCGUCUCGUUCCCCCAUGGUCUCCCACUCUCCCCUCUCAUCUCUCGUCUCCGGCUGCCAUUUGCCCGAACUAGGCACGUCCGAGGUACGUAAAACACACUGCCGCUCGCUUUCAUUCGCACCACCAUUUCGCAAGCAUCUAAAGCAUAUACGCGCGUAUAUGUACCCGGUCUCUUGAAGGAGCGUGCUUGCACACUGUCCCUAUCUGUGUGUGUUGUGCCGACUGCCGAGUGCCGAGAGCCCAAGACUGCCGACACAGCGACACAGCACACUACUGGCAGGUAGGGCGUCCCUGACACGCGACGAUACUACCAUGUGGGGCGCAGUGGGGCGGACCCACCUGUCGGUGUCCGUUCGUAGGAACUAAUGAGAAUAUUCUACACAGCAGCGCGCAGCCGAUCUGCCAGGAGUCAGCGGUGGACGGGAGCCACAUUCCCGCGGGUCAGCGUCGCCGUCGUGUUGAGUUCAGUGGAGCGAUCACUGCUCGGUGUUUGGUGUACUAGUAGUGGCCAUCAGCGGCUGGUGGGGCGGUUAAGCCUGCGUAAUCCGCGGCUUGACUUGUACUAGUACGAACCUGCCUGAACCUGAAGGCCUCGACCUCAACAACAGGAGAGAUCUUGACUCGCGGCCUGACACGCGCGCUCGUGGCGCUAGGGCUACCACCAUGCCGUGCCAGGUCGGACCAACUAACUGCGACCCGUGCCGUGAGGUCCGGGGUUGGCCGACUCCACGACCGGGACCUGGUGCUGGCCGGCGGGGGCAUGCAAUCGGCUCUGCGCACCGUUGAUCAGGCAGUGCGACCCCCGUACUCGUCGGAUCCCCGUCACGGUCGGCCGGCAUCGAUCGUUGACGCGUACAUACCUGCUUCGUCGUCUCGUCGACACCUCCGGCGUGCCGGGUGGGGCCGGUGUCAAUGCCCUGGCCCCGUAUCUGACACACCGUGUACGCGCGCGUGGACGUAUGCUAUAGGUCGCUAGCUAGCUCGCCAGUGCCUUUGCGCCUACUCGCCUCGCCCGCCAGCAGCGUUGAAUCAAGCUCGGCUGCAGUGGCUCGGUGACGGUGAGACGUUCACGACAGUGAGAUCGAUGAGGGCGGCUAGUCGAACUGAUGACCGGGGCCGCAAACUGCCGGUCGUUGCGUGCGCAGCAUGCCAGUACACAGUACCCACCAUGUACGCAAUAAAAAUAAGAAAUCAUGCAUGUACCGAUAAAACAAGUGCUAGUGGCGCGCGGUCUGUUGAUGAUAUCUAGGCACGAAGCAGUGUCCGUGGAGGUAAUCAUUGAUUAGGCGUAGCUAACCGGUCAGUGUCUGUUUGACAUCUCAAUAACCUAACCUAGCAGCAAUUCGCCGCCAAAACCGAGUACAUGCUACCACCACCUCUCGCAUAACGGUGGGAGGAGCAUAUCGAUCUGCACGACGGCGAUCUGGAUCCGCGCCGGCGGUGCCUGUGGCCUGUGCCUGCCUGUGCGCGUCAACCGCCGUGCUCGCGACAGGAGAAGUAAAAGCCACGGCGAGAUGCGCGAUGCGUUGGGUCACGGGCUCACGAGCAGCUAGACUGGCAAACGUACAGCACAAUCAUACAGCGCGACGCGAGCGCGAGGAGCUACCUCCCGUGGUACGUACCAGCUACGGUAGCUUCAUAAAUUUCUGCAUCGAUUUUAAACGGCCAGCGAUGACUGUGCGAUCUAGAGCCAUCAGUGGUAACUGAGCGCCCGAGUCUGCUGCUCUGUUGGGAAAUGGUGGCAGAGCGCUGCCAAACCGGCCUGUAUCAGCAUAAAAGAAAAGGAGAACAGCAGAUUUUGCCUAGAUAAAAAAGGGAGAGAAUCUGGGUCAGCUCCUUUGAGUAAGCGAACGACUAUUUCGGUUCGGAGUUUCAGAGUUCAGACACGCUAUCAUUAUCAAGCGGCGAUGAUGUAUAUAUGACGUACCGCCAUGAUUCGCUGCUAGCAUGACAGGUCGUUACGGGAGACGAAGCUGAUGACAAGAUCAUGUGGAAUAAUGAUAAGCUCCAGGCCUCCUUUAACUGCUCAAUGGCCGGAAGACUGGUAGCUAGCUGCAUGUGUUGCCAUAGAUGAUGUUGCGAGAAAGUGGGCGCUUCCUUGCUGACUUCACAACGAGUACCGAGAGCAGAGAGAGCUCCAUUCGCGACGUGAAAGGAAAGUUCAGGAGCACCCACUGCUCGUGCGUAGCUCGCGUUGUCUCUGCUCUUCUUUUUCGUGCUGGUUGCUGCUUUGCUGGGGCAAAGGAAUUUGCCCAAGCCGAGGAUUAUAACAUACUGAUGGAACCAGACAAAAUCCCGCACUAGCAGACUAGCGGUUGACUAUGAAAUUCUGAACACAUCUGCCCGCACUAGUAGUGGGAAUAAUUGACAACGCGUCUGUCAAGUCAAGAUUCCGAGCCCGUCGCGCAUUGUUUACAUGAGAGAUUUCUCUAUGCAGAGGGCAGCAGCAAAAAGGCCGGAGGAAUGUACUAUUCCAUAUUCCACAGGCAGAAUCACUGAAUCAGGGUCAAGUGGAGUCUACAGGCAGAUGAAAUUCGGACUGGUUCCGAUGGUCGCAGAAGUUCGUAGGAACGCGAAGAAAUGAUCGCCAGUUCUUCCCGUGGCCGGUUCAGCUGCCGCCCCAACAUGGCCGUUGCGUUGCUGUGCUCAUCACGUCAGGUUAGCUAAGCUGGACACCACAAGAAAUAAAAACAGAGUCCUGCGUCGUCGUCUCCUCUGGGGGCGACUCGGGGCACCGCGCCGCCGCCGCCCAGCCCCCACCUCCACCGAGCCCUGUGCGGCCGCCGCCGCUAUCCCGGCCGGCAACGGCGGCCAGCAGGCCCGGGCGCAUGGGCGUGCAGCCGGUACGCCGGUAUAGGGCCCCCCAAUUUUCAGGGGCCCAAAAUAUUUCCUACGCAGCCACGCAGGACUGCAGCCCAGCAGGCACCCGGAAGCAAAACACCGUCUCCGCAAGGCCCUAACUCCACCGUCUCGCACGCCUCCACGUCUUGUCUCCCCUCCACGCGAUCACUUUUUUAUUUUCUCGUCCGUCCACGCUAGGGCAGCGACGAAGAACUGUGCCAGCGCCGGCGCCUGGCAGCCUGGGUGGCGAGACAGCGAGCAAUUGAGCGAACCACAAGCCAGCAAGCAAGGAGGCCGGCGACAGGCCUGAGCAGAGAGAGGGAAGGGCAACGGACGUCGUCAGGCAGCCAGCAGGAGCCCUCCGUGUAAGUUAUUUACCAAAUUUUUAUUCCUCAAUUCUGUUAAUGUACCCUUUAAUAAUUAUAAUAGUUAAAUGUUCUUUUCAUCUUUUGUAUGCAUGUUUAUUAAUUUAUCUAGACGUCUAGUGUUUCAAGAUCCAAGCCAUGUCUUUUGCAAAUCGAUUUAGAAAGUACUAGAUAUAUUUGUUGUAAGGAAUCACAAAUGCCCUCUAGUAAUCAAGAAACACCGCAAGAAUAAAACUGUUCAAGUAAAAAUUAUGCAAUGAAGAUUAAAUAGGUACGAUUCUUGAUACAUUCGAUUGCAAUUUAAUACAUUAUACCAUAUACGUCAUUUCUUGUUGUAUUUUGCCGGUCGCUCUUUAAAAUUUUGUACAGGACCUCAGUUUAUGCCGCCCCAGCCCUGUGGCCAGCUACGGGAGGCCGUCGCGUUCCCCUCCCCUCCUCUCCCUUCUCCUCUUUCCCCUUCCCUCUCUUCCUUCCCUCCUCCCCUCCUCACCAGCGUGCGGCGUGGCUAGCGGGGAUUCGGUGGUGGAGUGCCAGAUCUGCGCGUCGGCCGCUGGUCUCGCCCAGAUCUGGUGGUGUCCGCCGCAACUGGUCGGGCGGCGGCAACGUGGCUCGUUAACCUAGGCGCUCGCGGCCUUGGUCGUCAUCGCCGUGGUCCUCCUCGCGGCAACAGCGGUCGGCCUGUUCGCGCUCUUGUGACGUCAGUGGCGUGGGCAGAAGGUCGUCGCGAGUGGCUCGUCGUCCACGGCCGGCGGCGGCACCGAGGCCGUGGCGAAGGUGUCGUCGGCUCACAAGAGCGUGUCGUCAGUGUUAGCGAGGCUCGAGUACUCCAACACCUGGGACCCUCUCGCUGGCACGGGGGACGGUGCCACCGCGGGGCUCGGCUCCCCCUCCUCCUCGCAGGCGACGCCGGAUCCGGUCUUCCUUGGUCUGGAUCCGUGUGGGGGCCCGUCGCGUUGGCCCAUAGGGGUUUCGUCCGUCGGGGAGCCUGCCGCCACUCCAAGAAGCCCGAUCUGCGCCGCCGCGGGUGGCUGCUCGUCGGGGAGCCGGCCCCACGCCACUGCUCCCGCGGGGGACAUGACGUCGAGGGCCCGGCACGCGCCGCUAGGGCCUCAUCCAUGACGCUGGGCGGUGACCGCCGUCGCCAUUGCCGGGUCCGGUGUUGCCGAAUCGCCUCCCAUUGGCGCAGUCUGCCCUCCCGGGGCCCGCGUGCUGCCGCUACAUGUCGCUGCCGCUCCCUCCACUCCUCGUCGUCGCCUGUAAGAGGGCGACUGCGGGGAUUUCCAGCCGGGGCAGCGCGCGCUCCAAGGUCGCUUCUUUCUCUUCCUUCUCCUCCUCCUCCCUUCACCCCACCUCACCCUGGUCGUGUUCAGGUCGCUUUUCAAGGAUGGCCCGGGGGUGACCCGAUUGACGCCGGUGCCUCCCGCCCUGCCGCUAUGGGUCGCUCGCUCUUGGGUUGCUUGCUCUUCUGUUGAUGGUUGUCACUCGUGGGGCCAUGCCUCCUCCAGCCAUUUUCUUCGCUGGCAGGGAUGAGAGGAUGGGUCUUCGUCUUCCCCAUGGUGCUUCGGGUCGCCACCUCAUCGUCGAGUGUUGCUGGGAGGAGAGCGGGCUUCGGCUCCACUCCUCUCCCUCCUGGUCGUCUUUUGGUCAUCGCGGUCGCCCGUGGUCAUCUUUGAGUCAUCGUGAUGGCGGUCGUUGGUCUGCGGAUGUUCCCCAUCGUCAUUGUUGUGGACUGCUCGCUGCCAUUCCAUCGAUUUGGCUCUCAUUCAGGCCUUGGCGGUCUGCUGCGUGGAGUUGGUUCUGGGGGCUUUAGCGAAAGUUUUGCCCGGUUUUCGCCGGUGCCAACAACGAUUGCAUUCCUUAACGUAGCUCACCUCGAUGAGGACAUUGUUGCGGCCACCAAAUCCAUUUGGUUUUGCCAGGUGAAGACUUGGUCUAAUCCUCCGUGGACAGAUGGACGAUGGCGGCGUUGGUGUCGCUUCCCCCUUGGAGCAUCGUCUUGCAUGACAUUCUCGCUCUACGUGCGCUGACUCCGGGUUAUUAGGCAAUCGGUGCUGUGCAUGUGUUUAUGGUGGGUCAUGUUUAAUGUUGUGGUGGUGCGGUGGCUUCCUUUUUCUGUUGUUGUGUUUAUGUUCCAUGUCGCAGAUGGUGGUUCUUGUAUCUCUGCACAUUGGAGUUUCUCUUGAAGUUGCAUCGUUGUAACUAAACUCUAAGAAAAAUGUGCACGUCUAUUAGGUAAGCUAACGGCAUAAUUGCUGUAGCCCUAAUUGUGUAGGAAAAAAUGGUAACUAAAAUAUGGAUGAAUAAAUCAUGCACGUAUCAUAUUCAAAAUGUUCACAUGCCUAUUUCUUUAUAUUUCGUGUUAAAUAAAAGCCACAUCUAGAUGAUUGCAUGUCAAUCUAUACUUAUAUUAGCUCGCCAAAAAAAAGUUACAAAUCACUCGAGUAAAUUUGAUUUUUGCUUUUCGAUCGAUUUUUCUUACUUGCCUUCAGCAGGUGAAGCUGGGGCUGUUUGCCGGGUCCGCUAGUGCUGUCGGCCUGCGGCCCAUAACUCCACCUCAAAAAAAAAG